CCAGACCACACAAGACGACCCAAAUAAACCGCUCAGACCUGCAUCCCUAUUGGUACAUCAAAACUGUGCCGCCAGGGCAUUUACUGGGGGGUGAACUUGGUGGCGUAGGCGAAGGCGUUGUUGGUGCCGGGGUUGGCCAGGUGGUCGGACCUGUGGAGCGGGCACGAGGAGCAUAACAUCACCGGGUAAACUAAGAUGGGAGUGCAAGUAUCAACUCGAAUUAAUGUUUAAUCCGCGUAGGUUAGCGCGGCUGGGCAUUUAUGGCAAGCAGCGUGCUGCACACACCGCGACUCAUGUUAUGUCACCCUAGGCCCCCAUCCCUACUCACAGGUUCUGCAGGGGGCCCUUGCCGGUCACGAUGGCCUGAACGAAGAAGCCGAACAUGGAGAACAUGGCCAGGCGGCCGUUCUUGAUCUCCUUCACCUUCAGCUCAGCGAAGGUGUCGGGGUCGUCAGCCAGGCCCAGGGGGUCGAACGAGCCACCGGGGUACAGCUUGUCCUGCAACGCGGAGGGAGCAAGGGUGGGCAAUGAUGCCAUGCACAACGUCCACGAACCGUGCAUUGCUACUGACGCAACCAGACAACACAAACCGAAACUGUCCCAUGUGUUUUGAGGGAAGCUUCCCUUCACAGCGAACCGCACUCACCAGGCCCUCGCCCAGGGGGCCGCCGUUGACGCGGUAGCCCUCAAUGGCGCCCAUCAGCAGCACCUGGGUGCCCAGGAUGGCCAGGAUGGACUGGGCGUGCACCAGGUUGGGGUUGCCCAGGUAGUCCAGACCGCCCUCCUGGAAGAUCUGAGCACCAGCCUUGAACCACACGGCCUCGCCGAAGGGCACGCCGUAGGAGCCCAGCAGCUCGGGGAAGAUGCAGCCCAGAGCGCCGAGCAUGGCCCAGCGGGCGUGGAUCAGCUCCAGCUCGCGGUAGCGCUUGAAGGUCUCCGGGUCAGCGGACAGACCGGCGGUGUCCCAGCCGUAGUCACCUGGAAAGCAAGUAAGGGUGUGUGGGAGGGGCAAUUUAGGAUAGAGCAUCACCAACCAGCUGCUGGACAGCGCUCCAUGUCCUGAAGGCUUCGCCAGCCCGAGCUAGAGAUCCCUUGCCGCAUGUGCAAAUCGCAGUUGCCCGAUCGCCAUGCGUCGGACUUGGACUAUCUGUAGUGACUGUGCUGCAAGAGCGACCGUGCGACACUGUUGCGCAUGCGAACGCCCAGAACCCCGCGACACAGAAAGACUUACCGGGGAACUCGCCAGUCAGGUAGCUCGGGGGCUCGCCAGUGAAGGCGCCCAGGAACAGGGGGCGCUCAGGGCCAUACCAGAAGCUGCAAGCAAAGGGCCAUCGCGAAAGGGUUCAGACGUCAAGAGCUUGAUACAGUGAAAUCGGCAGGCCGCAUUGUAGACAUGGAGCUGUAUUCUUUGCCACUGGUGGCAGCUCACCAGACAGGAAGCGCAAGUCAGGGAAAGAGGAUCCCCAUGCCGGAGUGGCCAGUUCCGGCAGUCGUGCCCUGUCAUUCCCCCUGCAAAUCUUCCCCAGAGCACUUCAUUGGCGAGCUACACACCUGUCCGGGGUGGACGCCUUGGAGGCGGGCUUCACGGUGCGGCGCGCCUCGACCUUGACGGUCGAGCGGCGAGACACCGCGGCGCGAGCGGAGGACUUGGCAAGGGCGAAGGCCAUUUUGACUGGUGGGAGUAACUUCUGUUGAAAUCACUGUCUGAACACGGUUGGGGCUGAGUAUUUAAGGCGUCCAGGCUCGGGGUCGUACGGCUUGCCGAUCGAGAUCGGGGUGCCAUCUGCGCCCUCUCGCGAAUCCGUCGCUUGGCGCUCGCUGGCGCGCGUCUGGCACAUCGGAUAAUCUUGAAAGCCCAUGCAAAACCUAGCGCACGCUCGGGCGGGUCGCUUCCGCCCAGAAAUGGAGCAAAACCGAUGGAAAGGCGCGAAGGUCAUGUGAGGGGCCCUUGCGCAGAGCGCGUGGCAAGGAGAAAAUCUAUGCGCAGCGGAUAGACCACAAAUCACUUGUAGCACUGAAAGCGACCGCGUGCUGAGAUAGCGCCUGGCUGGAAAGCGGCAGUCGAUGUGGCGCAUGUCGACGGAUGUCGGAACUCCGGCUGGUUGUGCUUAGCUUGGUUAGGAGCUCCAGGCGCUGCACGGGGGUGGUGUUUAAAUAAUCAAAUCGCCGUCUUGAUUCAGUUGCGGUAAGCGUGAGGUGCUGGCGAGGUGGGAAGGGGCGCAGGGGCGCUUCGCUGGCAAAGCCUGGCCUCUUUGCGGUUGUGGUAGCUGGAGGCAGAUGCAGGUUGCACUGUGGCAGCGAGCCAGCGGUGCGUCAGUGUGGUCUGUGGGUUGGCGUGUGUUGGGGGGAAAUAGUGGCGCAGCUAGAUGUAGUGACGCCUGUGGCACGGCCUGUGGCCCUGUGUGGCCCUGUGUGGCCCAUGACAUGGCCCGUGCGUCUAUGGCGACACGCCGACCCUCGCCGGCCUGCCCCGCCCAACGAUGGUACUGGCAGCGCAUCUCUUGACACUUGCACUGAAACGUUGUCAUUGAUACUACGUCAAGCGGCAGCAUCGGGAUGAUCGGUCUAUGCACCAGGCAGGGCUUGCAUCUGCCAGGGGUACCGUACGCGGCCGCCGCUAGCGAGAGGGACCCGGUCCCUGGCCCGAACCGUUUCCUCGCCCACGGCAUCCAGGGCCCCCAAAAGCCUAGAUUUUGGCGUUUGGCUCCGCGCCUCCGGCCCCCCCGGAAAGGGAUAGUUGGCGAGAUUCGGGGACAGGGAUAGUUGGCGAGAUUCGGGGACCGUAUGCAACCCGCCCACGCGGCGAGAAUGGUUGCGAUAUUACAAAGAAGGGACAGUCCGACCAAGCAAGGGUGCCCAGCACCCAGGUCAAGAGGGACCAUCUCCGGCCCGAAGGGAAACCACCCUCCCCCCAGUUGGCUACCGACCUUCCACAACCGUGCAAUAGGUCUUCGCGCAAAGCGUGUCUCGGCAGCGGCACAGUGAGUCGAAGCCAAGCCAAGGCCCGCCAAAGCCCCACCAACGUACAGCAAAUCGCACUAGCGCACGAAGCGCAAUCAAACCGGCGAGGUGUCAACGCAGGUACGCCGGGCACGUAGUCCGGCGACGCCCACGCCGACGCCCCAUACCCGCCGUCGUCCAGCCCAGCCAUCCCAAUACAGCAGCCGCUUUCCGUCAGCCAGCCAUGGGCGCGACCGUCCACAGCGUUUACCGUCGGUUACGAGGUAACAUGUGAAUUCGCAACUUGCGCUACUGACUGCCUACUCUCGUGCCGCCUGCAAGCCCACUCCGCCAUCCGCUCUGGUCUACGUACAGUGCAUUCGUUUCCACAACACUCGUCACCCAAGGCGCACACACCAGAGGCACACAGCUCCCACCACCCAUCAGCAAAUUAAGGCGAGGGGGGCGGGGAGCCCACGUCAUCAGGCAACACUAGCCGCACACAGUCACCCGCACCCCGCGAGAGGAACAGGUGGUGCGCAGGCACCUCGGCCCAGGCUUUCGGGCGGAGGCCGAGGGUGACAUACGAUUGCAGCCUGCCCCAGAAGUCAGCAAUAACGGACACACUGAUGCGCAUGACUUCGCGGCGAGAAUGCAUCUCAGGGAAUGCCCCAUUUCUCGCCUUAGGGCCUCACAGCGGUGGGGCUCUGGCGGGUUGAGGCUUGGCUAGGACUCACUGUGCGCGGAGUCACACGGACUUUGACCGCGGGAGGGUUUGCAGCAAAGUCGGGGUUGGUGGAGUCAAGUUGGGCCCUGAUAGCAUGUGAUGGCUCGGCGUCUUCGGGUGCUGGGACUGUCCCCUCUGUAACAUCCGCAUCCAUAUCCGCCUCAGACUGUGGACCGGGAAACACUUGUCAACAUACGCUGCCGCCGGAUCUUCCAUCCCCAUAAUCUUUUCAGGGGGCUCCGCCCCCGACCUAUGCACGGUUCGUGUCAGGCCAGGGGUGUGUCAGGCCGUGUCAGCAAUCUGUCAAUCUCCCAUUCAUGCCGUGCAUCCAUCUUGAAACAGAAACUCCACACAAACACACAGCUUGACCAUGAACCAUUACCAUUGCGCACGCCAUGGCUCCAGGGCAGCAAAAUAUUACGCAGCAAAAUAUUACGCCGCACGGCAUGCGCCAUUAUUACAGCGUGCGGGGUAAGGUUGCAGUUGCCCUCAGCCCACGUUUCGGCUCCGGCACAGCAAAAUAUUCCGCCGCACGGGAUGUGCCACUGUUACAGCGUGCAGGGUGAGGUUGCUGUUGCCCCAGCCCACGUUUUGGCUCCGGCACAGCAAAAUAUUUUGUCGCACGGGAUAAGGAUGCGGAUGUUACAGAGGGGACAGUCCCAGCACCCUAAGACGCCGAGCCAUCACAUGCUAUCAGGGCCCAACUUGACGCCACCAACCCCGACUUUGCUGCAAACUCUCCCGCGGUCAAAGUCCGUGUGACUCCGCGCACAGUGAGUCCUAGCCAAGCCUCAACCCGCCAGAGCCCCACCGCUGUGCCUCAACGCCACAAGCCUAGGCACAGGAGUGCCGGCAAACGUCCAGGCCGCAGGACACACGCACAGCGCACGAACUAACCAGGGCGCAAGCGUCCAGGUACUAGAACGGUUGCCCACACGUGCAUCCUGCCCACACACAAAGCCACCAACCACGCACAACCUGUCACGGCGAGGGAGGCGGGGAAUCAGCGUCAUACGGCAAGCGCAAUACCAUGCCUUCACCAACAGCCCGAGAUAGGAAAGGAUGCGCAGACGGCACAGUGUCCCAACCCUUUGGCCUCAUACCCAAAGUCACAAACGUUAUAAGGGCCCACCGGCCCGGGCCACUGGUACUUACGGGGACAGGAUAGCACGCAUGCUCAUGCAUACCACCUUGUAACCAACAACAACAGCAGGAACGGCGGACAGGGGUGUUCCUGGUGGUCUUCGCCACCCCGCGAACAGCUAAGCUCGGGGGCUCAGCCCGGAAAGUGAAACGAUGCGCUUGCUCAAGAUGGUGCGCUUGGUCUGUCCGCGCUGCAUUGCUAGCCAUGUGCCUGUGAGGCCCGUGCCAUCGCACACAGUCCAUGGGAUCAGGGGCCCAUAUGGCGGGAAAAUUUGGAGACACGGAGCCAGAGCUUGCAGGCCGGGUUGCACCGCUGUUGCACCGUACUAGCCUCCUAGCUUAUCAUACAGACACCGGCGCCCUUUCAUCUACAAGCCCCCCACCCACGCUCCCAUCCAGUCCCUUCGCAUGUACAGGAACAAUUUGCUAGUUGAGUAGAAGGGCAAUCAGCGCUCGCCUGGGAUCGAAACGGGUCGAACUAGGCGGGCUUGGCGAUGGGCCGAUGGCCAUGGUCGAGCCGGUUUGCGCAGGGGUGAGCCAUACCUCAAGGCCAAGCCUCACUCUACCUCCAGGGCAAAAUGCCAGGCUAUGCAACUUAGCAACCUGGGUCCCUCCAGCAGCAUUUCCCUCAUUUUCCUCGCGCUGAUGGAGAUGAUGCUUGGCAGAGCGUGGCCUGUGGCCCUGUGCCGCGGUGGCGGCGACGGCGGUGGUGGUGGAGGGCCUGGCCCAACCACCAGCAGCAGCAGCAGCAGCAGUAGCAGCGGUAGCAGCCGGGGCCACGCGGCAGCGGCCCUGGCCCAGCAGUUGCGGCGUGCAUGUGCGUAGUGGAGGGGGCGAGCAAGGCCACGUGGAGGAGGACAGCGCGGCGCCGCCCGAGAAGCGGCGCCGGCGCGCAGGUUGAGGCCGGCCGGUGUCUAGUGAGGGUCUUUGCUGGCAAGCAUAGCACAGCACUGUAUGUGGUAGGCCGCACGCAGCAGUGAGGAGUGUUGUGGCUAGAGGAUUUGCCGCUGUUUGGUCACACUGUGCUUGCUGUGCAAUUGCUUAACAGCGGGACGCGGCUGGAUGCAUGGCGGGCCGUGCCUGUACAAACCGACCCCGCCUAUGUCUGGGAGAUGAGGUAGACGCUUGCGGCCUCAGAGAGUGGAGGGGCUCAGCCCCUUUUCCCGUGACCGGGGAACACUUGUCCCAUGUCAUUGCUUGUCGGCGAAGUGUUUGCAACCUAUCUGCCUGGGUGGCGGGGCCGGACGACAUGGAGGUGGAGACGGCGCCCGCAGCGGGCCCGGCGCCUCGCGGCUGUCGCGGAGGCCCCGGCCGCGGCCGCUCUGCUGCCCCUCGGGUGCCGCCGUCCCCGCGGCGGUCGUCGCCCGACCCGUCUUCGAGGCGCAGCCACCGCCUCGCUGCCGCGUCCGUACCGGCGCCAGUGCCACUGGAGGGGCGCCUGGACGACAUGGAGGUGGAGCCGGUGCCCGCAGCGGCGGGCCCGGAGCCGCGCGGUGGUAGCGGCGGCCGCUGGCGCACCACAGCCCAGCGGUCGCCGCCGUCCCCGCGGCUCCCGUCGCCCGACCCGUCAUUGCGGCGCAGCCGCCGCUCAGCACAAGCGCCGGUACAAACCAGCGCAGCUGCCGCAGGCGGGGCGUCCGUCUUCGCCUCCGCCGCCAGCGCGCUCCGGCAAGGCUUGACGAGGCCGGCGGAAGGCAGCCGUGGCGCCGGCGGUACCCGAGCCACUGCCGGCGGCGGUUGUGCCGCCUGUGCUCCCACCGCUGCCGCCGCUUCUGCCGCGCCGCCCCUUCCGCCGGCGCCGCCGCUUCCGCCAGCGCCGCUGCUUCCACUGCCACCGCCGCUGCCGCCGCCACCGCCGCUCCCGGGGGCACCACCACUUCCACCGCCUCCUGGCGGUGCCGGCGGGCCUGCCGCCAUGUUGGUGGAUCCUCGUCGGCUUUGGGGCGGCGCAGCCCUCAGAAGGCCGACGGCCUCGAUGAGGCCCCUGUCGCCAAGCGCGCGGACACCCGCGCCAUCGGGGCCGUGGGCUCUGGCCUGCGGGCUGGCUUCCUGUUGCCGCCGGCUGGGCGGCGGCUGGCGCCUGGCUGGCGCCUUCGGUGGCUGGAGCGGAUGGCCGCGCUGCUGGGCGUGCGGGCAGCUCCCUGCUGCAGGAGGCCAGUCUGGCGGUGGUGGUGGCGAGCCCGGCGGUGGUGCUGGGGCGGUGGGCGUGGGCCCGGACCCUGAUAUGGGUGGUGGCGAGUGCGACUACGGGACCAUCCUGUCCGCGGCGGACGUCGUGGCCUUGCUGGCUGACCACGAUGAGGCCCCCAGCCCCGGCACUACCUUUGAGGCGGUCUUGCAACAGGCGCUUUGGGAUGCGAGUGAGCAGUUCGCGGUGUGCUGUCGUGGCACUGGGAGCGCUCUGAUCCUGAGGUCCCUCCGUGGGGACGUCCGCGCCUGGGAGCGGGAAUGGGUGGCAGACGGUGGCCCUCCCGUGUGCCCGCGGGGCCUGGUGCCGCAGCUGCUGAAGGUCGCGGCGCGCGCGGACGCAGAGUUGGUGCGGGCGCUCUGGGCGGGGCCUUUCUAGUGUGCUGUCCUGGUUUGGUGGCAUGUUCAUGCGUGUGCGCCUGCGUUUGUUCGUGCGCCGGCGGUUGUUCCUGUGCGGUAGCUGGUCUGCUUUGUUGUGGAGGUCGGUUGGCUGCUGCCUGUGUGCCCCGGUUUGCGUGGGGCCCGUCCCCCGGUUUGCUGCGGGUGGAGGCGUGUGUGACUGCGCGUGGUCGUGCGCCUGCUGUGGUUCCGGUGUUGUCGCUUUAGACUGCUUCGUUGCUGGGUCAGUUCGCGCGGCCGCUUGGUUCAGCGUGCGGGCGUGGCGGUCGGGUAGCUGCUGCCUGUGUUCCCUGGCCUGCUUGGGACCCGGGGCCCGGCUUGCAGUGUUUUGGUGCGGGGGGACGGCGCGCUGAUGUGCGUGUGCUGUGCCUGUGGAGGUUUCCCGUUCUCGAGGUGGGUCUCCUGUUCUCGAGGUGGGUCGGCUUUCUUUCCUUUUUUCCUUGCUCCGUCCCCCGCCUGUUCCUUGCUCUGUUCUGUGAGUUGAGUGGUUGCUUCACAUUUUUUGGGGGCCUGCCCUUGCUUUGCCCCGGAGGGGUGCCUGCUGGGGGUUUCGAUGGCUUGUGCGGUUGUCCCUGGUGUUCUGCUUGCCCGCUUUGCAGGUUGUGUGCCGUUGUGGUGCUGCGCCUUCCCCUUCCUUCUCCUUUGUAACCAUUCUCUCCGAAAACAAUCUGCCGCGUGGGGUGCCUCCGUGCCCCACCGCGCAUGGCAUGCAUCGCCCAUGCGGCCACGCCCCAUACCAUACGACCGGGAUGAGGCGUGCAGCCAUCGCGCUGUUGUUUUAGUUCCGCCGCCCGGCGCUGCAAUUGCCUUGCUUUCAUAUCGACUUAGUCCUAGUGCCCACAUCCGCUCCCCCUACGCCGCCUUAGGUCACCUCGUGCAACUCGCCGCAGCUUGCAGCCGCAGCCAGCAACCCUGCUCCCUCGAGCUCCGUAGCUGCAUGUGUGUGUGUGUGUGUGUGUGUGUGUGUGUGUGUGUGUGUGUGUGUGUGUGUGUGUGUUAAAUUACGAAACGAAAGCCCGCCCAGACGACGCCGGAGUUACUUACCGAUACCUACCAAUUUACCGAGCGUCGCGUGGUUGCCGUCACCCAGGUAGUCAUACUUACCCGCGAUAAGCCUGUAACCCCACGGGCGACCAUUCGGCCUGACCCCGCGAUGCACCUGUAUGCGUCCAUGCUCCGCACCCUGGGCGCGCUAAACAACGUUUACCCAGCACGCCUAAUUCCCAGAUUCCCGCCCGCUGGUCGUAGUCGAGCUCACCUAUAAGCAUGGGAAUGGAAAGGCAUUGGGCGGCAGCACAGAAGUGUCACGGACAUGUGAAAUGGCAGCGGUGGAAGAGGGCGGCGUGCAGCAAGCAAGCUAUCUAAUGUCCUAACACGCAUCCCAAAGCCCACCCACUUGUGUGUGUGUGUGUGUGUGUGUGUGUGUGUGUGUGUGUGUGUGUGUGUGUGUGUGUUAAACAAAAACAAACGGAACAAUUCCGCCAUACACGCGCGCGCAGUUACCAACAAAUACGUACGCCGGUUACCGAGCUCCGUGUUUGUCGAUGUUGCCCCAGUUGUCACCUUGAUUGACGAGUGUUGCGGGACUAAUGAGUAUACUCAGCCGCAUAUGGAACCCCCUACCCGGGCGUUUGGCAUUCAGCCUCGUCUCCGAGGUGCACCCGCAUGCGCUACAGCGUUUACCUUGUGUGUGUGUGUAUGUAUGUGUGUGUGUGUGUGUGUGUGUGUGUGUGUGUGUGUGUGUGUGUGUGUGUGUUUAAAAGGUGGUGCACACGACGUGCAUUCUUGUCCUUGUAGAAACCGAGGCCCGGGCCGGGGGGCCCUUACAACGCCUGCAAAACUCGUUAAUGAGCGAGGGAAAGUGUACUUGUUCGACUGUGCUACGUCAACUCCUAACAGCCCUAGGCUAGUCUAGGCGUCCUGGCACGAAAUGCCCGCUCCUCCCUUCCAUCGGGUCUUCAGCCCUGUUGCUGCUGCAUGUGCCUUGCUGCUGUCGCCUGCUCUGUUUAGAUCGUGUCCCUGCUUCCUACCGCUGUGUGUUACGCCCUCCUUGCCUCACCCCUUCCCGCACAUGUGGCGCCAGUGGCGUUGGUGUCUCCAGGUUGCUCUUGGGCGGCACGUAUCCCGGCGACUCCGGCGUCCACCCGCCAGCCGUUAGUAUCGCAUUGAACCAGUUUCACUCCGUUGGCAAGUGGCGACCCUCGACAGCCCGCAGCGUUUAUCGUUCACUCCCAGGUAACACGUAGACUCACAAUUUGCGCCAUUGACUGACUUCUUCCUCGUGUGCUGCCUGCUGGCUGCGACACCCUCUCCCGACACCGUGCGCAUUCGUCUUGAUAAAGCAUCUUCGGUGGAACGUGUUAGGGGGGGGGGCAAUUUGGGAGGGGGGGCGGAUCAGUUCAGGGCAGUUACGCUGGCGGGCGUGGGCUCAUGGUUCCACCCGCUGCGGUUGCUGCCGUCGCCCGCGCCGACCGGUAAUGUGAUGUAACAUUGCAGCACCUUUGGGCCGCUAGGCUCUGUGCACCAGCUUUCACAAGGUUGGCAGGACAGGGCUGACAGGGCAGGACCGGUACUGGUAUGUACCGGGCGCAAUGGGCUGCGGGCGUAGUGCAGCGCAAAACGAGGCGUGGCAGCGAGAUGCAACUACGAAUGUUACUUAUCCCCAAAGGCUUCCAAAACGCUAAUGGGUGGGGCUCGAUGGGGAUUCCCUGGUCGGGCAGUUGGGGUUCAACGGAGGACGGGAAUCGCUCGGGGUCGGGCUUGGGUUGUGGACACGCGUGGGCGGGAUGCAGGUGGCCUACUAGAAGCAUAUGGAACUGCAUAUCCAUGGUUUAUUGCACCACGGUUAAAUAAAACGCCCUUGCAACCGUCGCCGCUCCUAGCACGGCGUGGCGUUUUCCCGAUUUGCACAGCCUUUCCCAAAACAGCUCAUUUAGUGCCAUCAUUACAACUUAUGGCGAUUUAUGCCGAACCCUAAUCAUAUGAAAGCAAGAAUGCAAUUCAUAUGGGCCGCUCGAAGGCACGUUGACAACUCUCCCGCUGCGAUGACGGCGACAUUGCACACCUUAUUAUUCCACUAGUACACACCUUCUUCUUCUUCAUCCUAGCAAGAAUCACAGGGUCUGGCUGCGGGCAUGGGGAGCUUGGGCCAUGAAGCAGUCGCAGCGGCGCAGUUCCGUGCCGCUGAGUUGGCGAGGCGAACAGUGGUAAGUGGGGUUACUGGUCAGACAUGCCGGGAUGGCAUCGUGAGGUCGCCAUGGGAAUGGUUCUGGGCGCAAGCGGAGUCGCGGGUGCGUGGGGGACUGCGUGCCUGUGCCCGUGCACUCAAACGUCUGCCGUUGUUUUAUCUUGUCACGCUUUCCCCUCGACCUAUGCACCAGCCCGUUACGUUACUAUCUUGCGCGCCUCUGUAACUCUGAUGUACCAUGUUGCACAGGAAUACCAUAGUUCCCGCGAGGGUGAGCACCGCGCACGCGACCGCUUGGGCGGCCGCUUCACGCCCUACCCCUGGGCCGACGCGGCGGCGGCGGUGCUGGCAGAUGAGGUGCUCGAGGACGAGGAGCUGGUGGUGGCGCUGAUCCGGGAGCUGGGCAGGCAGGGUGAGGAGGGCCAGGGGCGCAGCGGCGCGGCCAGCUUCAAUGCGCUGGGCACCGACGGGGAGGUCAGCAGCAGACGGGCAAGGACGGGCAACUGGCGGCUGCCGGCAAAAGUCUGGUGGCAGUAGCUGCAGUAGGGGCAGUGUACAGCAGCGGCGGCAGAUGGGCAUACAACUAUGAAAGGAUCACCAGCGCAAAGUGCAUGGGAACUUGCGCGGAUCGCGCAGCUGGCAGCAGUAUCUUCCUUUCUAGCCCACCUCCCUCCGGCUCUUGCCUUCUCUCUUCUUCCCACCAGGCUGCUCUGAGGUGGCGGUGGCCGCACUGGACCUGGUGCUGUCACGUGCCGGGUCUGACGGGGACGGGGCCGGGGCCGGGCCGGGCGGUCUGCCGCCGAGCAAGGGGCUGUUCGACUCGGCGCUACUGGUGUGCGCGGCGGAGUACCAGGUGGGUUGGGCGGGGGCGGGUCAGGCCGGUGCCCUGUGCCAGGGGCCAAGGGGCCGGUAUCAGCCGCGGACCACUUGCAGCCGCUGGCCGCGCCCUGCCUGGGGCCAUUGGGCCAUCCAUCUGGUUGUAAUCCGCUUGCUCGAACGGCGCCGUGCGCCGUCGGGCCCUUUCACACUGUUCUUGGUUCCGUUUGCUUACGGACCGAAACAUCUGCCCCUACCCCCUGCCCACCCCCUCACGCCCGCAGGAUGAGCGUUGUGUGGCCCUGUACCGGCGCAUGCGGCAGGCGGGGCUGGCGGCGGACGUGGGGUCACUCAACCUGGCGCUGACAGGGCUGUGCUGCCGGGGACGGCUGGAGGAGGCGGUGGAGCUGCUGGAGCAGGAGGUGGAGGACAGCGGCGGCGUCAUCAAGCCCAACAGCUUCACAGUGCUCAUGAUACUGCAGGUGUGUGUAGUUGGAGGGACAAGUGUACGGCAUGGACGGAAUACUGUGUGUGUGUGCGUGUGUGCAGGUGUAUGGGAGUUGCGGGGCAAGAGGUGCUGCCAUGAAAGCAGCAAAGCCAUGCGUCAUGCCUCCCCUUCCAGCUACCUGCACGCAACAGCCUCUCAGCUGCUUCUCGGACGCCAAGUCGUUCGUAGGCGCUGCUGCGCCUCCAAACCCUACUCUGAAGCUAGCCCUGGGACCUAAAGCGAUGAUUUUGCUCGUGGUGCUUGCUGUAAAUCGCAGGCGUGCAACUACAAGCGGCGAGGUGCCUACCGGGAAGCCAUCGACGCCGUGCGGGUGCGGUCAGCAUAUACAUAUCUGUGUACGUCCUUGCUCCCACGGCCCACCUCACGUUCGCCCUUCGCAGAGCCCAGCGACUUAUCCCCCGCCCCCCCACCCGCCCUCACCCCCUUGUCUCCCCCACCCCCCGCCUGCCGCCUGCAGGCUCUAGAGUCGUGGGGGCGGCCCGCCAACGAGGAGGUGGUGGAGGCGCUGCUGUGUGUGUGCGAGGCUGCCAUGCACAAGGCGCCCAGCUUCGAGGCGGCGGUGGAGGUGUUCAGCGCGCUGGCGGAGUUGCAGCUGGCGGACAGCACACGCGUCUACAACGGACUGCUGGGCGCGGCGGGGCGGGCCGGCAGGUGGCGAGAGGCACAGGUGCGGGUGCGGGGUGCAGGGUGCGGAAUGUGGGGUGCGCGGCUCAAGUGGAGUCGGCAGCAAGUGUGGGAUUGUCUUUGCCACUUUGGUGGCGUUGUGUGCCGUCGUCAUGUGUGUAUCUCUGCACUACACUGAAGUUCUGCACUGUAGCUACUAUACAGUUAGAAUUCAGUAAAUUCCUUCCUCCCUUGCUCUUCCCCUGGUUAUGCCACACGCUCGUGUGUCUGCCCCACGCCAGGCGCUGUACAUUGCGAUGCAGGCGGACGACAUCCCCGCCAGCCUGGAGACACACACAGCCCUCAUCCAGGUGCGUGUGCGUGUGCGUGUGCGGCCCUAUGCACGUGGGGGCACUGGGGGGCAGUGGGGCGGGGCAGCCAGCCUUGCAGCCAGGUGGGGCUGGGAAGGACAAGUGGGAAGACGCAGGCCGUUGGUGAGGCGCAAGUGCGCAUGCUCACACGGUCUGCCUGGCUGCUUGGCCUUCCCUCCUUGCCUUCCUCUUCCUGUCAGGCGUGUGUGGUGGGCCGGGCUCUGGACCACGCACUAGACAUAUUCGAGUUCCUGGUGGCGGGCCGCGCCGCGCACGAGCUGGUGCCGGCGUCCAUCCAGACCUACAACCACCUCAUUCAUGCCUGCCACCAGGUGGGGCGGGGCGGGGCGGGCUGGCGCGAAGUGUGAAGCGAGUGAGGGCAUUGGUUGCACGAAGCACGUGUUGCCGCGGGUCUCUUGCCCAACAAUACGCCCCCCGCCGCUGCCGCCGCCGCCACCACCUACUCCCGCCCUCACUAGGCCGGCAUGCUGGAGAAGGCCCUGGAGAUCGCGGCCUGGGUUCAGAAGACGGGUGUGGAGUUCAACGACGAGACGUACGAGGAGCUGAUGGCCACCAUUGAGGUGGCGCAGCUGUGGGAUGAGAAGGCCAUGAAGCAGGUGUUGAUGUGUGGGGGAGAGGCCAGUCGUGUGGGCAUCAGAGUAUGCGCAUUGGGCAAGGGGCUAAUAUGCCCGGGCCCAACGAGUAGGUGCGGAUGCCGGAUGGUGUCGGGGUGACACCAGCCCAUGCACAACCUGCCACGUAUGCGCGCGAGUCUGCGAAAGCUGUCACGAGGUGCGCUGCAGCUCCCAACCCCACUGUUUCACUCCCAUUUCGCCGUAACGGCUACCCUCCUGGCCGUCCUGCCCCUGCCCCCCCACCCGCAACCGCGCAGGCCCUGAAGCGCCACCCGGCUGUGCUGCCCAAGCACCUCCGGCCCGCGCCCUAUGACGCCAUGCGGGUGCUGUACCUGGACCACCUGGAGGUAGGGGGGGGGGGAGGGCAGGAGGGGGCGGUUAGUUUAGUCCAAUCCCAACUAGGCCAACACCCAGAGGAAGAGCGGGGAUGUUACUUAAACUCAAGGCUAUGCCAGUAAGGUCGACACUAUGGGCAUAGGAGGGGGCGUUGGCGUGUGUUGUCAGUGCGCGGUGGGGCACUGUCGUCGACCCCACCCCUUGGGCGCGCUCAUGCUCGGCGGAACGUCUCUGUCGGGCCCUGUGCUGUGUGUAGUUCGGCGCCCUAACCCCUCCGGCCCAGUCCUCCCCACCGCCCCCUGUCCGCGUCCACACACCCCCGCAGACUCUGCAGCAGGAGGAGCUGCUGGCGCUGGAAAAGCUGGGCACACUGGGCAGCUGGGCGCCCAAGUCGCUCACCAAGGGCCUCAUGGGCGAGCAGCACGAGCAGAUGAUGCGCGAGCAGCAGCAGGCGGCGGGCGCGGGCGCGGGUGCCGGCGGCAACUGGACGGCCUCGGCAGAGGCCUCCAGCUGGCGCGGGGCUGGCGGGCUCGGUCUGGAUGCGGAGGCGUCCACUGCCUCGGUCUCGGUCUCGGCCCCGGGUCCGCCGCUGUCGUAUCGGGACAUGGCCGCAGCCAUGCGCGCGUCCAUGCCCGCUCUGGCUUUUGGGGGCGGUGGCGGUGGCGGCGGCGGCGGCGGCGGUGGCGCGGCGACGGCGCUGGCGGCCGUGUCAGGCGUCGUCGGGCUGGGCGGCGAGUCGUCUGUUAGCUCCCUGGCAGGCGGUGGCGGUCCGCCGGCGGGCGCCCCCUCCAUGCGGCAGCUGCUGACCAGCAUGUCCAUGAAGCGGAUAGCGGGCGGCGGCAAUGGCGGCCCGGGGGCAGGGUCAGCGUCGACGGCGCUGUCGUUCAGGUGGGGGGGGGUGUCCAUGAAUGACGCGGGGGUUAGUAGUUCAUGCGGAACGGGUUAGCUACCGUAUUCAUGCGAACGGGAGGGCGAUAGGAAAAGGCAGACAAGGUGGGUCAGCCGCGAGUGAAGCGGUUGUGAGUGCACGGGGUUUUGAAUCUGGAGGCCACUCCAGUUUCUGCUGGCCUCUAACGCUCUGCCAAUUUCGCUGGUACUGCACAUUGGAAACCCCUGCAGAGCACCUGGCAUGCGGAGUCUGCUAGGCGCAGCAGGAGCAGCUGUGCCAGACUCACCUACUGCCUCCUCAGCCGCCGCCAGUGCCUCCUCUCCCGCCGGCGCAGCGGCAACAGUAAGCUCGCAGCAGCUGGGAGCGGGCGGCGGCGGCUCCGAACCUGCACCCACCGGCUUUAACCAGCCGCCCACGUGGGCGCAGGUGCAGGUGGCGGACGCGGCCACCGCGGGCCCCGGCGGCACGCCCUUUGUGACGCCUCAGGCGGCGUCAGUGCGGGCCUCGGCGGCGGGCACCGUGCCGCCGCUGUCGCUGGGGUCGGGCCUGGCGCUGGCGGUGGAGCCCGCCAACCUGCAGGGACAGCCCUCGGCCGGAUCGCUGGGCGGCACACCCCGCGUGUCGGCGCGCGGGGUGGCGUCGAGCAGGGCAAGGCCUGUGCCGCCGCCGGUCGCAACCGCGGGAUCAGUGGGUGCCGGCGGACUGCCGGCAGUGGCCGGGGCGGGCCAGGGUGGCGGCAUUCAUGCGAGUGCUGGUCUGCUGCCGCUGGCGGACGCGGGCCCAGCGCUGGGCAGCCCGCGGGGUGCGGGCGGGCCACUGCCGGCUGCGGCAGGCAGUCGGUUGCGGGCGCUCAAUCCCAGUCUUCAAGUGGCGGUGGGCGGCCCGGUGUCGCAUGACUUCCUGCCAUCACCUUUGCCCACUAUGCCACCCACCUCAUUGGGCGCCGGCAGCGGGCGGCGGCCGGGCGGUUUGCGGUGACCGGCGGUCAGUGACGCCGGCUGUUGAGCACGGAUGGCAGUGUUCGGCACCAGAACUUUGUAUCAGUAGCAUGGCGGAUUAACCGAUCGUCGCUGUUAUAAGCUUGUGGUCUGAUGACGGCGCGAAGUAUGCAGGUGUUUAGAAGACUCUGGGGGAGGCUAUUGAGCUGAGCAGGGGUGAUGGGAUGAAGAUGCGUGGCCCAUUGCAUCGACCAAUGCACUCCUAUCUUACUGUAAGCUGACAGCAACAAACCGUCUUGCCACCUAAAGACAGGCACACGUCUCUCUGCAAGUCGCCCACAAAUUUGCUGAGUGCACUGUUAAUUAUGAAGCACUGAAGUGCAUCGACAACUUCAUCACGUUGAGUGUAAAAGUUUCAGUAGUCUAUAGCAAACAAAAUGGCCGAGCAGGGCGCAGCGAAUAGCCUUGUUGCGGAGCUCCUUGCUGGCGGGCGCGCUAAGGCGAACCAUGUCGUAAAACUUAUUGCUAUGAUACAGAACUGCAAGAUGGAGGUAAACGCCGAGUGACAAGCUGGCCGCCCGAUGGCCAUGGCGGCCUCGCCGGGUGAAGUGCAUAGGUGGCCAGCUGAGAGCGCAAUUGUGAGAGAGUGGACCGUAAAAAGUGAUAGGGGCUAGCAGACGACCGGCACGGCGCUCGCCGGCCAGGGUCCUCGGCGCGGGUUAAGCUGUAUCGUCCCCGCUUCCCCGGGCCAUCCAUUUCAGGCUGCGCUGAAGACGGCGAUACAAGGUCUGAAGCAGUUCUUCGUGGCUGCGGGCCAGGACGGCCACCUGGCGGGCUCCGUGGGCUCAACAGCGGUUGGCAGCCGGCCGGCGAAGCGGCAGAAGGUACGCUGCACCGCUUGCCUGCCUGGCGCACAUGCGCCUAAUGCACCGCGGAUGCUUGGCUGCUGGCCUGCCGACCAACUGCACCAUGGACGCUCACUACCGCCACGCCACGCCGCAGGUUGACUCGCAGGAACCGCAGCCGGACGCGGCCCCCGAUGCCGAGGCGCAGUACCGCCAGUGGCUGGGCCGGCAGUACGCCGCCUUUGUGGGUCAGAUGCUGGCGCUGACCACUGGUUCCCCGCUGCCGUCUGCAGCUGGUGGCGAGGCAGCAGCAGCAGCAGCAGCAGCUGCAGGCAGCGAGGCGGGCGUCAGGAAGGCAUUGCUGCAGCGCACCGCGGGCGUGCAGGUGGUGGCGGCGGCCGCGCUGAUGGAGUGUGUGCGCAGCGAGCUGGGUCCAGGCGGCUUCAGCGGGCGGCUGUACGGGCGGCUGCUGAGCGGCGUGCUGACGGGGCCGGGCGUGCGGCCGGAGGUGUUCGCGCUGCUGUUCAACAAGUACCUGGCAUUGGCGGGUAAGCGGGCGUGAGGGGGCUUGGGGAUAGGGUGGGGUGGGGGGCUUUUACCAGGUCAGGGGACAUAAUGGGACACUUAGACGCAGCCGCGCGUAUAUCAGGGGGAGUAAUGUGUGGCAUGUGCGGCAGGGGCUGGAGGAGGUGGGGAUAAGGAGGGCAGGCAUUAUGUAUGAAUGGGCUCGCGUUGUGGAUGUCCGCACACAUGGCGGCUAGUUGCAGCUUGUACCGCUUGAAUGUGCUGCUGGGCACUGCACACUGGGAGCAAUCUUUGACACGACCGCAUACUACCCGGCACUGCCCUGCGGCAUCCACGCUGCAGAUGUGCGCUUCUACACGCUCGCGACCGUGCGGGCGGUAGCGGUGAAGUACAGCAGCGGGGCGGCGGUGCCGCGGGCAGGCGGCGCCAUGGAGGGCGAGGACCAGCAGGAGGCUGCGGACGUGGAGGCGCUGGCGGCAGUAGCAGCUGAGGUGGCAGCAGGUGGGUGAGACCAGUGCUCAGGUGUAACCGUUAGCCGUGCAUUACGGCACACUCUAGUUGCUGCACAGACGCGCGAGGUGAGCCGCUAGCAUGCAGGAAGCGUGUUACUGACGCGAACUGCUGCCUCGGGGCUAUUCAACAUCAUUUGGAGCUCAUGACCGCCUUUUCGUCAUGAUUGACCUCUGUGCCAUUGCAGGGGCCGGCUCAAAUGGAGCUGCCGCUGGGUCUGCUGGGCCGGGGCCUGAGUCCGUGUUGCCGCUGCCGGAUCUGACCCGCAACCUGUUGGACGUGCUGGGCCACUGCGAGGCCCAGCUGCCCGCCGACCCCACCGCCUGGAACACCUGGUGCGGCGCCGCCGAGGUAGGGAGCGGGCGUGUGUUUUGGGGGGGUGGGGUUGUAGAUACCAGCCCAAACUAAAUCAAACCCAAUGCAAUAGAGCGAGGAGGAGAGCGUGGCCGAUGCUUGACAACGGAGUGUCACGCGACAACAGGGGUUUGAGCAUCGGGGAUGAAGGUUGCAGACACGACGAGUGCACCGAUGGUGGAAAUGAGCAGGCGCAGCACUGUGCGGACUGUAGACCGGUGGCUUCAUGGGUGCCUGCGACUGCGAGGCCCCAGCAGUUGUACCCCCGAUGGUGGGCCCUUGUACCCAUGUUUGCGUAGUACAUAGUACGCGUACUACGUACUGUACUACAUACAAUUGCAGCUUGCAAGUUGUUUGACAUAUCUGUGCGGCUGUGUACCGCGUUACCGCGCCCGCCAGCCCCUUCAGCCGCCCGCAACCUCUGCCGUACCAACACCAACAUGGAUCCAGUGACACGUUCUGUGGAAUAAACCGUCGUGCCACGUCGACAAUAUGCAUGUGUGUAUCUGCACACCAGUAUCGGGGCUUGUAGGGCGCUUUUGGCGGCAUGGGCAUAUGUCCACGUGACAUAUGUCGCAUGUCACACGUUGACAUGUUGCAACCUGACCAGUGCCAAACAACUUGCAAGCUGCUAUAGUAUGCUGCCCUGAUGGGCUAGUACGCUUGUAGUAUACGUUGUGCUGGGAGUAUAGGGCGGGGGUGGGGGUGGCGGGGUCGCCACAGCAGGCAACGGUUGCUGGAAAGGAUGUCGGUCGAAGUUCGCUGACCAUGGCUGCUUUCAGGACCUCAGCUGUGUUUCUUAUAACAAUACGAGUGUAAAAAGCUGCAGGAAAUUCCGCCAGAAGAUUAUAGGCAGCGCAAAUUGAAGUGUACAUCGAUUCGGGCACGCCGCGGGCACAUGCGUCGGGCUUUCCCCCCGGACUUCGCGACCCCGCGUACUGCGCAACGUAAAUGCCAAGUACGCUGUAUUACGCGUAUUAUGGAGAGAUGGUGACGUACUAUGCAACCCUUGUUUUAACGUACUGCGUUAGUGGCAGGGAGAUUUUUGUUGGAAAGGGAAUGGGAGGCAAGCAGGCGGGUAGUAAUGCGUUUCUGAGGCGCUGUGCUCUUGGUACGAAACGACCAGACUCCUGACUUCUGACCCCUUUGGCUGCCUGUUGCCCCGUGCCGCAGUUCAACCUGGUGGCGGCGGCCGCGGAUCGCAACGAGUCCGCCCGGCUGCGGCGGAAGCGCAAGGAGCAGGAGCAGAAGGAGGCGGGCGGCCAGGCGGCGGCGCAGGCGGCGGCGGGGCUGCGCAAGGUGGUGUGGGCCAACGCCAAGACUCAGAAGCGCUUCUACAGGUGUGUAUGGGCGCGGACUGAGCUGUGCGACCCCACAUAGCCUAUGACAUGUGGAUCCGAUCCCGGCACUGACAGUUACCUCUCCCUCUCCCCGCUGCUGCCCCGGCUCCUCUGCCUGCCGUGACAGUGACGCCUGGCUGGCGCUGCUGGCGCUGCCGCUGCCGUCCGACGUGCUGCGCAAGGCGCUGGUGCGACUGCCUGGCUCCGUUAUCCCGCACAUGCUGGGCCCUCAGCUCCUGGCGGACUUCCUCACGCACUGCCUCAACCGGGGCGGGCUGACCGGCAUGCUGGCGCUCAACGGCCUCUUCCUGCUGGUGGGUCUGGAGCUUGGGCCCACUCCUGGUCGCGCACCCGUCAUGUAUUCAUUGCUGCCAUGAUGCCACGUGUCGCCACGUGCGGCUGCAGGUGACACGCCACGGGCUGGAGUACCCGCAGUUCUUUGCGCGCCUGUACCAGCUGCUGGUGCCCGAGGUGGGCACACACUGUUUGUGCUGUGUUGGUGUUGUGUAUGCAGUGUUGUGCACUGUGUGUAAAAGCGUACUGUGUGGAGCUGGGGGACUGUGAUUACCGUAGUCUGAGUGGUUUGCCGCAGGAUGAGGACGGCGCUGGGGUCAAGAUCCAGUGCUGAGCUAGCGGUUAAUAGGCUGCAACCUUGACCUCACCUCGUGCAAGUGGACGUCGCCCUGCCUGUCACUCUUCAGCCCGCUCACCUCCCCUUGCCCCGUUGCCCUGUCCCUGUCCUUCAGGCCUUCGCCAGCCGCAACCGCGCCCAGUUCUUUCGCCUGGCUGACCUGUUCCUGUCCUCCAGCCUGGUGCCCGCCUACACGGUGGCUGCCUUCGUGAAGCGCUUCGCCCGCCUGGCGCUAGCGGCGCCGCCCCCCGGCGCCAUGGUGGCCAUCGCCUUCAUCCACAACCUGGUGCGCCGCCACCCCGCACUGGCAGUCAUGCUGCACAACCCCCAGGCGGCAGCAGCGGCCGAGGGCAGGGGCGGGGCCGGUGACAAGAGGCAGGCAGGCGGCAAGCAGGCGGCGGCGGGUGUGGACGUGUACGACGAGGCGGAGCCUGACCCCGCCAGGAGCCGGGCGGUCGAGAGCUCGCUGUGGGAGGUGGAGGCGCUGCGCAACCACUACUGCCCGCAGGUGCGGAGGGGUUCAGGACACGUGUAACCGGCUAGAUAUAUAGGCUGGGGAUGCUGGUGUGAACUUUGGAGGCGGGGGGAAUGAUUGAAAAGCCAAGGCGCCUGCACGAGCAUCGUGUGGGCCAGAUGUUGCCGUUUCGUCUCCCUGGGGUCCUGGUGGGAUAGCUGUCAUGCCAUUGACCAGCGCGCACAUGUGUGCAUUGGCAUUUGGCAUGCAAGUGUAUUUGGCUCUCCCUGAGUCUUCUGUAUCUUGAGCUACGUGGCUUCAGGUGUCCACCUUCUGCGCUGUGCUGGACAAGGACCUCACCGACCGCACAAAGACCGCUGAGGUCAACCUGGAGGACCUGCUGGGGGCGGCCGGCCGCGACGCGCCGGGCGGUGCCGCCGGCUCCUACAACGCGCUCAUACGUGGCGAGCUGGCAAGGAAGCUGCGGCACGUGCCCACCGCAUUCUACGGCUUGGGCCAGGCGCCUACGUGCCUUUUCGGCAUCGGUGUGGCGGAUGACUUCGCGGGUGUGGCGAUGACCAGCGGCGUGACUUCUUGCUAAGACUGUCGUUUGUGUGGUUGUAUUGAAGUAGAAACUGCUUGCGGUGAUGCGACUGGCCAGUUUUGAUGAACGCACAUGCGCAUGUCAAAGCUAUGGUUGGGGACUGUAUCCGAGCCCAGACUUUUGGCACUCCUUGCCCGGAUCAUAUAUCAUACUUAGGUAGUUUGAGUUGCCCCUGUCGUGCGUGGGGUUGCAGCCUGGCAAGCCGAAACUACACACACAAGUGACCGACAUCAUCCGGUCGCUCUGUGGGCCCUCAUCCGGUCGCUCGGGCUUGUUCGCUAUUAUUGGCCCGAAAGUUUGUGACACACCUAAAACUGUUUUCGAAGAUUUAACCGUUCGUGCUACUAGGGGUCUUGGGAUACAGCUCGCCCGAGAUCGCUCGCACAUUUAGUGUCUUACCGCGCGCGUCUCCGGAGCUUGCUUAAGGUCUGUGUGGCGUUCAUGCCAUGGCAGCUGAGCCAGACGCUGAUUGGGAGGAGCUUGCUUCAACCGGGCUGCCUGGCUUGAGCAUAUCGGACCGUCCGGCCGCAGCAGCUCAAGCGCAGCCUCAGUCACAGGGAUAUGGCGAUGGCGGUGGUAGCGACGUGUAAGUCGGGAGAGCGCAGUUUUCCCGGCAUCUCUGGCAUGCCGCUCUUGCCAUUCACUCCGAGACCGUGUGCUUUUCACAGGGCCAAACCUGCCACGCCGCCUCAUGUGGAUGGCUUGUCACAUCAGCAAGGGGCGCCGCACCAGCCCAGCGCCGAGGUCGAGCCAGUGGACGCUGCGGUGCGACAGGCGCUGGCCGACCCAGCCCAGCGCCAAACAGGUCCGAAAUCGGCGCAAAUAUUACCAUGUAUUCAUGGCGCUAACAUAUAAUCGAUCCAUGCAGUUCUCAAGUGCGAAGAGCUAAUCGAGAAGUUCCUCGCCGACCCGGUCGCGGAGACGCUGCAGUUCCCAGCAGCCUUCUCAAGCUACCAGGUGCGUCGCUGCAGCGCUUCUUGAUUGCGCACGCACGAUCAUAUUCCCUUAACUAUUUCUACUCGUAGCGCAUGCUGGCGCACCGGGUCGGUCAAUACUACGGCUUGCAAACGAGCACCGUCGACUACGAGGAGUCCCAGGGGCGCGUUCUUGGCAUUCGAACAGCACAUUGUCACGUGCCCAAGGUGAGUUGGAUGCGUGCCAAAGCCAGCGCGCCAACCUGGGCGGCUAGAUUGAUGACCAUGCCCCCGACCAACGCAAAACCUUCACUCCUUGACCUGGUCACUUGCAGCCGCGGCUGCGCGAAAUGGAUUUGCGAGCAGAGGCCAUGGCGCUCAGGCACGGUCAGAGUCUGAACGGGCUGGGUGGUGGGCCGGGUUUCUCGGCCGCUGCACCUGACCACGGCCCUAAGCCGCGGCUCUUGCGGCGUCAGGACGAUGACCGCGUGGCCCAAAGCAGCUCGGAGCACUCGCUGAACCAGUCGCCGGCACGCACGUUAAAGGAGCGGCAGGAGAAUUAUUCCAAGUACCGCGAGGAGCUGGGGCUGGGCGAGGGGCUUGGGCCUGGGCGGGGCCCGGGCCGGGGCAGCUACGGCGGCCGCGGCGGCUAUGGCUCCGGCCCUCGUGGCGGCGGCAUGGAGGGCGGCAUGGGCAUGGGCAUGGGUCGCGGCGGCGGACGCAAAGCGGUGUUCCGGGACAAGGACCGCGACCUGAGCGACCCCGACUACCGCCGCGGCAUGGGCAGGUGGGAGCAGAGCACAGGGCAGUGCUGGUGGCACGCAGAGCGAUGGGGCAGAGUCCAUGUGCUAACAGGGGGUAUCUUUCGCUCCUACUGUGGGCGUCCCUAGCAAGUUCUGGCAGGGCGCACAUUAGCCAUGGUUUCCUCAAUUUGGCAAUGGCCAAUCGGUUGUGCGCAGGUUCAGCGGCACGGCCCGUUUCGAUCCCUCCGCCGCCGCUACCGUUCCGGCCGGUGGUAUCUACCAGGUCCCCACUUACUCCACGGAGGUAAACAGGGCGGCAGCGGGCUUGUUGCAGUUUUCAGGCGCAGGGGAAUCCCCGGCUGCUGCGCCAUUGCAUCGCAGCCCUGUGUGCCGCCGCCGUGUGGGUUAAUCCGGGUUAGUGUCAAUCUUUUGUACACCUGACCUAUACCGUACCUGUAUUGUGCUUUUCAAUGGGAUUGCCCACACAGUUUCCCACGCUCAACCGCAUGGCUGGUCAGGGGCCCGGUGCGGCACCCAUGCAGGCUGGGCGGUCCAUGAUGCAAGCCGGUGGCCAGGUCCAGAACGCCGUACUGAUGAGUCCUGCGGCGCCACAGAUGGGCAUGGGGGGUGUCGCCGGCGGUAUGGGCCAGGCCCCGCACCAAAUGCAAGUGCAGGCGGGGCCAUCCGUCGGGCAGUGGAGCCAGGUCUCCCAGCACCAGGCACAGCAGCAACAGCAACAGCAGGUGCAACAGCAGGUGCAACAGCAGGUGCAACAGCAACAGCAGGCUCAACCACAGCAGCAGGGGCGUGGAGGCAUGCGACCACCACCGCCGCCACCGCCGCCGCACAGUCACGGCAAUGUGGCGCCUGGCGCCGGCGUGGGCGGCGGGAUGGGGAAGGGUAGCCACCAGCAGUAUGGCGGCGGUGGCUCCAUGGGUGGCCGGAGCCAGCAGCAACAGCAACAGCAGAUGCAGCAACAGCAGCAACAACAGCUCAUUGCUGGUCAGGCGAACAUGCAGCAGGCGCAGCAGCAGCAACAGUUCAGCCAUGCCAUUGCCGCAGCGCCGUACGGCACCAUGAGUGGGCAGUACGGGGUGCCCAUGACGGUCACGCCCGCUGGCUUCAUGUCGGCGGCCUCGCCCCACGCGGGGCAGCCUGUGUUUGGCAUGACCACAUCUGGCGGCGCGCUGCCGGCUGGGACCACCGUGUAUGCGGCGGCACCUGCCCCGGGCGUGGGCGGCACCGCCUUCUACCCCGCUGCUGGCAUGAGUCCCAUGGGCGCCAUGGGCAUGGGCACUGUGAGCAUGGCGGUGCCGGCGGGGGGCGCCUACGGCUAUAUGACGGCGGCGCCUGGUCCCGGCAUGGGCGCCAUGCAGGUGGCCACCUCGGGCGGGGAGGCCAUUGCGCUGACGCCGCAGGGUGCCGUGGGGGUGCAGUACCCCGUGUACGCCUACAACCCGGCCGGCACCGCGGUGUACCCGGCCGCCGGGGUCACAACCACCCAAAUCCAGGGUGCGGCUGGGGCGGCGCAGAUCCCGAUGCGGCCCGUGUACGGUGUGCCCACCUUCUACCAGCAGUACGACCCCUCGCAGUACACUGCCAUACAGCAACAGCAACAGCAGACCGGCGGCAUGCAGAGCAUGGGCCAGGGCAUGCACGGCAUGGGCAGCGCCGGUGACGGGCGCGGCUACGGUGGCGGCUACGGCAGUGGCGGCGGCGUCCACCACCAGCAUCAGCAACAGCAACAGCAGCACCACGCAGGUAGCGGCGGCGGCUAUGGAAGCCACCACCACGGCGGCAGUGGCAUGGGCCAUGGCGGCGGCGGGCGGCACCGGGACUCGGACAACGGUGGCGGGCAGGACCUGAAGUGACAUGGCCUGUGCGGAUGGCCGCCUGGAGCGCUCGCGUCAUUUUUGUUAAGCUCCAGCUAACUGCGGGGCUGAAGGCUAAGCUGCUCUUGGACGCGGAUGCCGAUGCCGCGGUGCGAUGCUUCCUGUUGUGGGUACCCCGGGGGCGGGUGAUGCUACAUUGGCAAGCAGCACGCCCUCUGAGUAAGCCCGACGCGCUUAGAAGCACGCGGUUAAUCAAGGAAAUCCAACCAUUACAAAUGAAGCUGUCAAUGUGAUGUGGCUAAGCUAAUUGGCCUUCCUGAGAACUGGCUUCACUUCGCUGCAUCAGCCCACCCCUUGUGGGCGCGUCCUGCUCGCAGCCUGGCUGAUUUUAUCAGAACAUAUGCGGCCGUUUUGCUGCUUGUUGUUGGCGCGCAAACGUGGGUGUGUGUGGCGUGGCAGUCUAGCCAUGUGAAGGUAGGAGUCGUGUCUGGGAUGUAACCGGCUUCCUAUGCUCAGCGAAAGGUGGUACUGAUGCAUUUGGGGCUUUAAUCCUGUCUGCCGGGCUCCCGGUACGGGCGUACACCCGCACUGGCGUAAGUUUGCGCUGCGUAGCUUAGCUCGAAAUGUGUGGCGCGCAAUGUCACGUUCGGCAAGCGCGUCGUGUAUGGCCAAGAUGGCUGGGCUUGUGACGCCAUCAAGAGCCCAUCAGCAUCUCUUCAUCCGUGGGCCUAGUGGUGCCGGGCGACAAUGCUUGAGCAUGUGCGUGAGGUGCGUGUCGUCUGUCUGUAACGUCACUUGGGGGCCUUGUGUGUCUAGUGAGUGUGCGUGUAGGUGUAUUGGCGGCGUGUGACCGUUUAUGUGUUCAGGUGUGAUGGGGGUUAUCAAAUGUGCACAGCUUGGAGUGUGUGGCUAUCAAGAGUGAAUUGCUGGUUGUGGGCGCGAUGAGCGCGUGAGUACCGUAUAUGCUGCGUUGGCGUGGUGGAGUGUGUGGCGGGCGUCUGUCCAGUAUGUGUACUGCGCGGUGCGAAUGGGGGUUAUAAUUUCGUUUGACCGGUCGACAGUGCACCUGCCACGAUGCCUGCCCUCGGUACGGGAUGGUUCGUGGCAGCGGUGGGUGGUGAACAAAUGGCGGCCUGGCAGGGGAUGUGGGUGGGUGGCACGGUAAUGCGUGUAUUGGGAGAGUAAGUUGCGACUGCAUCAGAGUGCAGAGGUCGUGAGCGUUGUGUGGGAGCCAGCGGAGCAUCAGCGCGCGCCAACUGGCGGAGGAGGACUAGGAUGUACGUGGAUGUCGGACGUGCGCAAGAGGGGUUUGGCUCGGGGCAUCUACUGGCGCGUGUCGGCGCACAGCAGCCAGGGAUCCACGGGGCAAGUUGGCGAGGGCUCGCAGUACAGUGGUGAAGGCGUUGAGACGGAGUGCGGCCAGGCGCCGGUGCAACACGUGAACUGGGCUGCAAUAGAUCAGACUUGCGGUAGAGAAGCAACUUAAUUCUUCCGAUUAUUCACGCCGGGGUGUCCGAAGUGGUCUUGCGAGUGUUUGACGCAGUCCUGCUGCUGUGAGCGGCGGGAGCUGUAAUUACACAGCCCCGCCCUCCCCGCCAGCGAUUAGAGGCUUACUUCACAUCACGUCACAUCAGCCUGCCCACGAAACGUUCUGCCGGCCCACGAAACCGACACCAAACAAUUUUAGGCACUGUAUGGGUGCACGUGCUGCAACCAUAAGGCGGUCCGUUCACUGAAUUGUAGCCGCUCCGUGCGGGUGGGGCACGGCGCCUUGACUGGAUGCGGGAUGAUGUGUUACGGGAUUGGGAGUGUGCGCUCCUUCUCCACGUAACGCGACUACCCGAGCCCCGAGGGCUCCUCGUCCCACCGCCCACCGGUCUGACCCAGUGUUUCAUGCACACGCCGUGUUGAAGUACUCGACCUCAGAAGCCUAGAGGGAUGACACGCCCCCUCCAUCAGGACCUUGAAGUUAGCGGAGCGAGCUCCGGCUGAUCUGGGUGCAGUUAACCCGCUCGGGAGGGGUAGCGGGCCUCACCGCAGGUGGGUCCGGGGCUAAUCCAGGCUAGCCGGCGACCCGCUGGGCUUUGCAGCCGUUCUCACCCAAGCUUUGCAGCCGUUGCCUUAAAGUUAACCCACGGCUAACCCACUGGAGCUGGAUGAGAGCGGCCAAAACCGCGAGUGUCAUCCACGGCGUCAUCCCUCCGAGAAGCCCAGUACGUCGCGUCCAGAUUGCCAGCAAACAAACGGCCAGCCACGGUGGUCUGCCAACCUCAAAGCCAACUGCAUGUCUUCUACCCCAUAGAACCAGCAAAGUCGGGGUUGGGCCCUGAUAGCAUGUGAUGGCUCGGCGUCUUCGGGAGCUGGGACUGUCCCCUCUGUAACAUCCGCAUCCAUAGAACCCGUGGUUUCCCCUAAUGUCAGCGUAAGCAUCACACGAAAGCAGCACAUGCCCUUCAUCCUCCACGCCAUCAACGCAGCGGGCGCAUUUCCUGUCACCCCUGGGAAGGUGCUGGUUCCAGUUAGCAGCCAGCGGCCAGCAGCACAUAAUGUAUCCUUGCUGUGUAGGUGCUUGCGCUUUGUGCAUCUUACAGUCUGCGGCUGACAGAAGCUGUAGGGUGAAACGGCAGCGCCCGCCGCCCCCAAAACGUCCUUUUUGGGCUGAGCCCCCUGAGCGAAGCGAUCCAGGGGGGGCGAAGCCCCCCAGGAUUGCCCCUGUCCGUGCCUGCCUGCCUGCCUGCCUGCCUGCCUGCCUGCCUGCCUGCGUUGACAAAAAGUGCCAAACUGGUGCAAACCGCGAGCGCCACGUAUUAUAAAUUGCUAUUCCCUAUUGUAGAAAAAUAGGCGGCAGGGAAAACUCGGCUGGAGCAGUCUACGCCAGCCCAGCCUCUGACAACCGUAUACACCAGCUGAGAGCUUCAGGAACCCGGAGUGGCGCAGCUUGGCGCGCGGUUAUCUCGUCAAAGGUAACGUAGCAGUUGCGGUCGCUGCUCAUGCUCACGCUUUUCUUUUUGCUUGUGCUAGCUCACUGGCCUCGGCUCUACAACGUCAUAUUCGCUUGUGCGUGUUGCGUUCUUUCAAGCAUAUCAAUAGUUUGGCCUGCCCCUGCGAAUCGCUCUUGCCUUGGCCACACUGUCAUCCAGUGACCCAAAAAUCCCUACUUGCGGCAGCCGGGCAGUUCUGUUACCAGCGCACUCACGCGGCAAGCUACCGUUUGCCGGCUCGGUCCAUCAGCCAGGGGCCCCAAAGCGUCUGCCCGGUAUGAUCUGGUAUGAUGCUGUCUAAGGCCCCAUACCCUGCCCCAUACUCAUAAACUUCGUACAGGUUACACGCCAUCUAUAAACAAACAGCUGCUUAACUGUUAGCGUACUGGCUGCAAUAAUAAUAAUAAUAAUUCAAACGCCGGCCCAUGGGGCCUGGCGUGGAUUAUCGGGGUAAGGUGGCUAGGGCGAGGAGGCCCAUCCCCCUCGCGCUGCCACCUCACCACGCACUCCGAGGAGGUGUGGGGGAGCGGUGGCUCACCCACCUCUCGGUUUGAGUUCCUGCUCGGUUACUCGGCGCAUUUUGAUAAUGCCGCCCGCACUGUUCACAGCGUGUGUGUGGAGCCUCUCUCCGCAUACUCGUGCGGCUGUGUGGGUCACCCCAAGUUGAGAGGUGAGCAGCUUAGUGAGGUUGCAAGGGAUGGCCCCAGUCACUCCGAGCGCAAGGCAUUCAUUGGUGGAGUAGUGGACCGUCCAUCCGGCCGCUUCCAGCAGUCGCUUGAGUUCUUGGUGUUGUUGAGAUUUUUCUUCCCGCUUGUCCAAAUGGCGAACGUCAGAGCUGUAACCGAUUUCAAGGAUAUAGAUGGGCAGCCGUGCUUUGUUCAGGGGCGGGCGGUACCCUUCUCUAUGUGUUUCAUGGGCGGGCAGGUUUGGGAUGAACAGAAUGUCAGGUCUGAGCCUUGUAAUAAGGGGUGAUGAUGUCCUCUCCGCAGCCAGCCAGGCGGGGGGGCGUUGUGCAGACGCAUAGUGUGGCAGGUCGGCUAGCGGGCCCGCGUCCAUGACCAUGAACCCGUUCCCGUAGGUCCCUUUGGAGAUGCAUUUGGCGACACGCUGGACUGCCCAGUUGUGCCGAUUGAUGUACGCACCUUUCAUUUUAGGGUGUGUGCAGCCUCCGAGGAUGUGCCCGCCGGAGUCAGGGGUGUGGCAUCAGAGGGGGCAGUUGCCGUUCCCUCCCAGGCGGUAGCGCCGUUUAAGCUGUGCGUUGAAGAGGGUUUUAGGGUUUUAGGGUUUUAGGGUUUAGGGUUUUAGCUGUUUUCGAAUCGCGUCUCAAGACGCAGUGCGUCUCGUGCAUCGCGUGUGUGUGAGACGCGGCGCGUCUAGGGUAUCAGGCUAGCGUCUGGUGUGACGCAUCGCGUUAGCUAAGACGCGCUCUCCAUGCAUUGUACCGCGUCACGACUCGCGUUCCAUUGCGUCUCGCAGACGCAGUGAAACGCGCUAUCUGCAAUGGUGCCCCGCUUCACUGUUUCUGGUUGCGUCCCCAUCGCGUCUCUCCCGCGUCUCCCCCGCGUUUCCCCCUUAACGCGCAGCGUCUCGGCGCGUCUGACACCGCGUCUCACAGGUCAGACGCGGCCCAGACGCGCCCAGACGCGGUUUCCCGUUGUUAUAGUGCAGAGGGGGCAGUUGCCGUUCCCUCCCAGGCGGUAGCGCCGUUUAAGCUGUGCGUUGAAGAGGUAGCCGUAGCGGGCAUAGAGUAUUUGCUUGACCAGCCAGGGUUGCCUGGUGGAGCUGGCGAGGGUGCGGUUGCUGAGGGUGGGGCACAUGUUGGCAGAUGCUUCCGCCCAUUGCUCCAGCACUGGUGUAUUAUUGGUAAAGCCUUGUUGUGCUUCGGGGGGCAAUGAGUUCAGGACUCCACGGUUUAGGUCACUUAGGUAGAAAUUGUCAGAGUUGCGUUUGGGCCACCAGAUGUUGGACCACGGUUCGUCUGGUGCUAAGCGUAUGGCCUGCCCCAUGGCCUCCAUGUCAUUGGCGGCGACUUUGGCGGCACCUUUGUCAGCUUCCUCGUUGCCGAGGAGCCCUGUGUGAGAGCGGACUUUCAGCAGCUGGACUGGGACCCCGGCGUCGGCAUACAUUUGUAGCUCGUGGAGUAUGUUUUCCAGCAGGUUUUUAUGCUUGGAUAGUAGGAGUCGUUGUGGUGCAGUAAGGGCUCGGCGGAUCAAGUAGAGAGACACUAGGGAAUCACUGGCUAUGGUUACUUGGGUCAUGCCCAGCAUACAGAGUCGGGGGCGGAUGUAUUCUAACGCAACGAGAAUGGCUGAUAGUUCGGCUCUCUGGAUUGUGUUGGUGCUGUUGAGGCCACCUGGUUCGACGUAGAUGUGUUCGGUCUGUUGGGACCACGCGCAGGCACCGAGUUUGUUCAUUUCGUUGCCAUCUUCACCGGCCGCAACUUUGAUGCAAGAUCCGUCGGUCCAAACAAUGGUGGCGGCAUCGUACAGGUAGCUGCUCCGAGUGGGGAAGGCAGCUCGUGUGGUGUAGAGGGCAGAGAGCGUGGGCAUGGGCGUAGGGCAUGUGUCCAGGCCCCGUGCUGCUGGGGCUUGGGGUCUAGUUAGCUGCUUUGCACGGGCUUUUGCACGGUGGCUGUAUGGUCGGCCCGGUGGGGCUGUGCGGUCACGGGGGAGGGUUAUGCGCGCGGGCCACUCCAGUGGUUGUCGGCGCCCUGGAGGUUGCGAGGUCGGUGGUGGCACCGCUCCAAGUUCGGCCAGGGAGGUUUGGAGACGUGUCAGGUUGUUGUUGGAGUUGAGUGCUUGUACCCCUGUGGUGUUCGCAAUGAGGAGUAGCUGCAGGCCCUGCUUGCUGCUGGCAGCCUCGUCGGCCGCCCCGAGGCCAUCUAACAUGCUAGAGGCGGAUACGCCAGGCGGAAUCAGGGCCAGGAUGGUGACAUGCGGACUCACAAGGCACCGGCUGGCGGCGCCUUUGCCUUGUGGGAUAAUCAUGAAGGUAAUGGCGGGGGUGGCCUGGUGUUCUAGGUGUUCGAUCGAUGCUGUUGCCCACGCCAGUGCCUUUGUGCAGGCGUCUGGGUCAGGGUCAGGGUGGGCGAGGGAAAGGCCAUCAAACGGGGCCGUGUACGCAUCAUGUGAGGCCCCGAAGAGGGAGUCAGCUGCGUGUUGGCUGUAAUAUUUAGUGGCCCGGCCCGAGCAGUUGAGUGGAGAGGCAAAGCGUUCCACCAGCCCCACUGGGCGGUCAGGGUCUGAGUGUGUCGAGGCAAGGCAGUUAUACAGCGCCAGCUUCAGGGACUCGGGGAGAGAGCGCUCACGUGCGGGGGCUGACUUGCAUGUCUUGCCUUUGCUGUCUACCCGUGCGCGGAGUAGCAGUUUAGCCAAGUCUUCCGGGAAGCCCCCUUGAGAUCGGUGCGGGCUGGUUGCGUCAUGGUGGGUAGAUAGGGCGUGUUCAUACCGAGCUUUAAGAGUCAGCAAGGUGCCUAGCGUAAUGGAUGCUAUGUGGCGUCCGGUAGGGCUGUAGACAUGGGUGAGGGUGCGUUCAUCAGUGUAUGUGUCUGGGAUUUGGAUUGUAUACCUUCCGGUGGGGUGGACGUCGAGGUAGGGAUUGCACGGGUUGGUGUCAAUGCGCGUGUUCUGUUUGGUGGUACGUCGGACGUGGGACGCGGCCACGUCGGCUUGCGUCCAUCGCCCUUGCUGUUGGGCAGGUGUAAGACAGGCAUCUUUGGGCUUGGGUUGUGGCAUGGGUGUAGGGGGUUCUGCAAGUUUCCGCAAGUGUUCGGAGAUGGCAGGGGUCCACCCUUGGAGGGUGGGGCAUUUGUCUACGGGUUCGCUGGUGGGGUCCCAUUUCAUGCGCAGGAAAUGUUUGCAGCACGCUUGCCCGUAUCCCAUGUGUGCGGCAGCAGUCCCAGUAUACUUCAUGCGGGUGUAGGCCUCAGCCGCUCCUAUAACGAUGGUUGUGUCCUUCCAAGCUACCUCAUAGUAGCGCUCGGUGUGGAGACUGUCACCCUUCUCUGGGGCAGUGACGGCUUUAGUGAUGGGCCCAGCUUGAAUGUGCGAGAUUUCCUCUAUGUCGUGGUACAGGGAGUACACUAGUUGCUUCGCUGCUUGGGCAACAUGGUAUGCCUGCGUCGGCCAGGGUAGUUUGCCUGUCAGGAGCUGGAGUCGGAUUCCCAUCCAACGCUUGAAGGGUCUUGGUUGGGGUGGGUGGUCACUGGCUGCAAAACCAUUUAUCUGCCUUGCACGGGGAAUUUACUUGUAUCAAGACAUGCAUACCGUACCGUACUGCUACGCUAGGUUGGGUUUUGGAAUUGGUGACAGGACAAGAUAUGUGGUUCCCCUCGCAAGGGAAAAGUGGGCUGAGGCCGCAAGCGUCUACCUCAUCUCCCGGACAUAGCCGGGGUCGGUUCGUACAGGCACGGCCCGCCACAGGGGUUCGGGGUGUCCAACUCGGCGGUCAGCUGUCGGUUGCCCCCGAAACUUCGGCCCAAACCCCCCUGGAAGUGGGCCGGCUAAGCCAGCGGUGGCGGCAGUAGCGGCGGCGGCAGCGGCGGCGGCGGCGGCGGCGGCGGCGGUGGCGGCGGCAGCGGCAGCGGCGGUGGCGGCGGCGGCAGCAGCAGCGGCAGCAGCGGGGGCGCGUGCACGCAUCUUGGCAGCGGAGGGGGCGGGAAAGGCCACGUGGAGGAGAGCGCAGCGCCGCCCAAGAAGCGGCGCAAGCGCGCAGGCUGACGAGCCGGCUAGUGUCUAGGUAGCGGUCCGCGGUGGGGCUGGCAGGGCAUGCGUAGCGGCAUGACAAGUAGUGCGGCUGUUGACAGAGAUGACGAGAAGACGUUUCCAUGCGUAUCGUCGAUGUACGCAGAAAUGCACAGUUGCGAACCUUGGCGGGAGGUGCCAGCUCGGCGACGCCGACCUCGCUCACCCCCCCCCCCCCCCACCCUUUGCAGCUGCAGUUCUCCUUGCCGCGCGACUGUUUCCUUACGGGAUUGGUUCAACGUUAACCCCCCCCCCCACCCUUUCCCCUGCUGUGUUGUCUGCGUGACAGAACAGCAACGCCGCCUGCCCAUACCGUAUCUUGUCCCAACCCUACAGCUCGGGUAGCUGGGCUGAUGGGCUAAGUUUGGCCAUGUGCCUGUGGAAACCGACUUACCGACCCCGGCUAUGUCCGGGCGAUGAGGUUGUUCGGCCUCAGAUUGUUGAGGGGCUCAGCCCCUUUUCCCGUGACCGGGGAACACUUGUCUAAUAAUUCUUCGUAAUUAUACCGUGUCAUGGAUUUGGUGAUGGGGCCCCCAAACCGUACCGGUACCCUGCAACCGUACGUCCUAUUCAGCCCAAGCAGCUCGCCACCUUGCAGGCGUUCUUCCAUCUGUCAAUCUUUACUGCAGCUCAGAUUGUUGCUUGCAUCCAUACACUUGCAGACACACCCCUCCACACAGCACACGGAGAGCGCGGACGUGGAUCCAGUAUGCACAGGAAUGUGACAGGCUCCGGCAAAGCCUAGUUGGCAUUGUUCGCUGCUCCUUCCUGAUCCUCCCGCCGUAUGCACUGUUCCCUCUGCGGGCUCGACGGCGCAUUCAAGCCCUUCAUAGCAGCUUGGGCCGCAGGUGGUCCUUCAAAGGACUGUCCUACCUUGACGUCGCAUUUACAACAGCAUCAGCCCCAUGCACUUUCUGCACGUAUGACUGCUUCACACCCAGCGGCAUCCGGUAGCGGUCAUGCCCAUGUGAUUCGGCAGCACGCCACCUGCGUGACAAGUGUACUUGUGCCACACCGCAGGAAAACCAAAGCCAUGCCCCAAUUGCGUGGGUAAGCUGUCUGGCGGGCAUCUGCACGAGAAGCCGGCUGGCGCUAAUAGCCCUUGUUGCCCUGGAUCCGGCUCCUCGCGUCCACUUGGCCUCGCCGGCACUGAUACAGGGCGUAGCGAUAUGUUUCACAUUCGGGCGCUUUAUCUGCCAUGCAGUCUUUUAGAUCCCGCUUUUGCACCUGCGGCAGUAAGCAUAGAGGGCGUGUCAGUCUGCCCCGCAGCCCCGUGGCGUGGCUUCGCGUGUCCUAUCCUGUAUGAGCUCAACCAAAUCUGAGGAUCCCGCCUAUACAUACGGGCAAAGGUUGCGCCCGAGGACUCCUUCGGCGGGCCGUGUCAUCGUGUUGGAACCCACCGCCAUACACUCCGUCUUCCGAAUGCACUCUGCAUACUUGGCCAGCAGACCCUUACACGACAUCUAUAGCUGGGUAUAGCAGCACAAGCGCGGCGCAGCGCUCCCUCGUGAAAGCAAUCGAUAGGUGGCUGGUGAAGCUAUGUAAACUGAAACCGCCAGUCGGCAAGGUUGAAAUUUGGUAAGCUGAGCUGUAUACUAUGAAGUUUCGGAGCUAUGGCAGCUUUCGCGUCCAUUAGCGUCCAGCGUGGUGCAACACUCGCAAUGAGCCCAUCGCAGACUGCGACUCUCUUAGCAAAGGAACUGCGUGCGAUUUCGCUUCAAUAUCAGCCAGAAACUACAGGCCUUGGCUAAGCUGGGACCCGCUCCAGUUGCUCGAGCGGAAUUGCCAUAAAUACACUUGCACUUACACUUGAACGCAGCGUUUGCCGAACGGGUCACCAUGGCUGUGCAGUUUUCUAGUCAUAGACAAAGAUGGGCCGUCUUCUCUGGAGGCAACAAGCGUAUGGCGCACCGGCCUGUGCUUGCUCAGGCCAAAGCCGCGGCCACUGUUGCGCCGGUAGCAGGCGCUGCAUCGUCCGGCGUUAGUCAGGGUAAGGCGAUUGAAGGGAGGGCAGCCCAAUUGGUGCAUAUCUGUGGUUACAUGGUAACACCGACUGGAGUACGUGCUCUGGCCCCCACAGCUGAGCUGCGGGAGCGCGUUACCUUCUUCAACACCAUGUCCAAAUCCAAGGAGCUCUUUCGGCCCCGCCUGUCUGACGGCAGUGUGUCCAUGUACGUGUGCGGCGUCACAGUGUACGACUACUCCCACAUCGGUACGUGCAAACAUGCCUCCCGGGUAUGGGGGCGGCACAGGACGCCACUUACGCCAGCAGUGCGAAAGCCCCGCGCCUGUGGGCCAGAUCCACGUGGCAUGGCAAUAUGGCAUGUUGCGGCACAGUGGUCGGAUGGGCCCAGUCGACGGGUCGGUGUGCGGGAACUGACCAGGUCGGGGCUCGGGGGCAGGUGGCGUGGCCAGCGCUUUCAGGUCUGUCGCUGCUUGCGUUGCCGCGUCGUUCGCUCAGCCUUGUCCGCCGCCCUCCUCACCGCACUCCCACCCCCAGGCCACGCGCGUGUGUACGUUGCCUUUGACGUGCUGUACCGCUUCCUGUCCGCCGCCUGCGGCUACAAGGUCACCUACGUGCGCAACUUCACGGACAUUGACGACAAGAUCAUCGCACGGGCGCAGCAGGCACGCGUGUGUGUGUGUGUGUGUGUGUGUGUGUGUGUGUGUGUGUGUGUGUGUGUGUGUGUGUGUGUGUGUGUGUGUGUGUGUUAAACAAAGAAUCAAACGGAACAAUUCCGCCAGACACGCGCGCGCAGUUACCAAUAAAUACCGACGCCGGUUACCGAGCUCCGCGUUUGUCGAUGUUGCCCCAGUUGUCACCUUGAGUAUACUCACCCGCAUAUGUUGCCUGGAACCCCCUACCCGGGCGUUUGUGUGUGUGUGUGUGUGUGUGUGUGUGUGUGUGUGUGUGUAUAUAUUAAAGAGCACAAGGAAAACGUUGCGCAAAGACAGUGUAUGCGAUGCAGCAAAGCGACGGUUUACGGAUGUUACCUGAAGUUACCUCGCAUACCUGCUGCGGUGAGCCGCCGGUCUUACCAACCGGAAAUCGCGCAACCCCCGCUACUCUAACCUCGAGGGGGGAUUAGUGUCCACACGCUCUCAAGGGUGCAAACCCAUGCAUGUGCUCACGGUACCGUGAGGCCCAGGCACUCCUACGAUUCCUAGCUCCGCGUCGCUACUCCUGGCCGCUAAGUCCAAGCUCCCGCCCAAUCCUCGAUGAAAUUCUCACCUACGAGCGAAUAAGAAAACAACAGAGCACUGUGUGUGUGUGUGUGUGUGUGUGUGUGUGUGUGUGUGUGUGUGUGUGUGUGUGUGUAACAACGGUUUACAGUUGUUUAUCAGAUCACGUGAUCGUGUAUCCGGACAACCCGUAGUUGCUAGUGCCAGGGGCGCAGUAGCACCUUGUUUGUCGCGCAUUGGUCUGGCAGCACAUGUCUCCCAAGCCUACGCGUAGCGUUAGUGUGUGUGUGUGUGUGCGUGUGUGUGUAUGUAGAGGAGCGGGCGUGGGCAAUUUCUUCAGGGUCUACAGAGGGAGGGAGUAGGCAGGCACGCAGUCUGGCAGUUUACCUGGCUGCCUGGCGUUGAUUGCUGUGCUUGCUGCCCCAACGCCCACCAGGCCGGGGCUGCGCCGUUGCAUUCAUACGCGUGAUUUACUUCAUCUGUCUUGAACGGCUGCCCCAUUGCUCCUUGCAGUCAGGUGUGGAGACGUCGGAGCUCACGGAGCGCUUCAUAGACGAGUUCAACAAGGUGGGCAGGGUGUUUUCGGUGGGAAGGCUGCGGGAGUGGGGAGCCCACACGGCGCCCCCCCAAUGCCUGCUUCUUGCAUCGCCCAAUCACGGUAAUCAUGCUUGGCACCACGCUUCCCCGAAAGACGUACAUACAUACAUACUCACACAGGACAUGGCCGCCCUCAACGUGCUGCCACCUGCGCUGGAGCCUCGCGCCACGGCCUUCGUGCCGCAAAUGAUCUCCACGAUCACCGACAUCAUCGCCAACGGCCACGCCUACGCGGUGGAUGGCGGCGACGUGUUUUUCGACGUGGCUAGUCUGCCCGGGUACGGACGGCUCAGCGGCAGGCAGCAGGAGGACAACAGGUGCGCGGGGGCAGGGGUUGCUGGAGGCGGGGGCGAGGGCGUAGACCGGGGGCGAGGGUGCUUCGGGUGGAGAACGUGGUGGGUUGCGGUGGCGGCGGCCCCUCAUUGCCAGGGACUUGGGGUGCAGUAAAGGGCAGGGAGGCAUUGGGUGCGAGGUGGUUAGAGGCCUUGGGGGCCGCUUCCCGGCUUCCGCGCCAACGUCGGGUGUGUCCCUCCCCGCGCUGGACCUGGCUGCCACUGCGCUGCCACGUGAUGAGCACGUACACAGAUGCAUGUACUGGCUUCACAUGCGGGGUGUGGGAGGACAUUUCCCACGGUAUCGACUUUUCGCCCUCGGCCGUGACCCCCGUGUGCUUCCCAUUCCUGACCUGUGAACCUGCAGGGCGGGUGAGCGUGUGGCGGUGGACAGCCGCAAGCGAUCGCCGGCGGACUUUGCGCUGUGGAAAGCGGCCAAGCCGGGAGAACCCGCCUGGCCCAGCCCCUGGGGCCCUGGCCGGCCCGGCUGGCAUAUUGAGUGCAGCAGCAUGAUCCGCGAGCUGAUGGGGCCCGUCAUCGACAUCCACGGGGGUGAGUGGCAAGGUUGGGCAGGGGGCGUGGUGCAUGGGGUGUUGGCACUAGGGGGGGGGCUGCGAUCACUACAAGGGCGCGUGACGAGCAUGAGGAGGAGGCGAGUUCUGCACAGAUGGCAUUCCCUGUCCGGCAUCCGAGCCGCACGUCCCUGUCCCACCCCCUGCAGGUGGCCGUGACCUGGUGUUUCCGCACCACGAAAACGAGCUGGCUCAGAGCCAGGCGGCAUGCGGCUGCGGCCAACACGGACACGAGCACGGACACGAGCACGGUGGGCAGCAGGGCGGCGCGUCUACCAGCGGCGGGGAUGGGUCCCAGUCCCAGCUGCACAACGGCACGGACUUUGUUCGGUACUGGCUCCACAACGGCUUUGUUAAUGUGGACAGCGAGAAGAUGUCCAAGUCACUCGGUAACUUCUUCACCAUCCGGUGAGAUCUGAGCGGGAUACCGUUGGUGGAACGCGAGGAGGGGCAGUCCAGGAGGAGGAGGGGAGGAGGCAUGCAUGGAUCAACUUAUGGCACGGACAGGUCGUCUGCGCACGUAUAGCAUCAAAUGUUUAUCUGAAGUUGCAUACAGGCAUUCCAGCGGUCGCCCUCACCUCCUGCUUGUCUCCGCCCCCGCACCCCCACAGCGACGUGCUGGCCCGCUACCACCCGCUGGCCCUGCGCUGGUUCCUUGUGUCCAGCCAGUACCGGGCGCCGCUCAACUACAGUGAUAAGGGGCUUGAGGUGGGAGGAGCGUGAGGGGAGGCGCGGCUGCUGCCAAUGCCAGAUAGUGGAGGGGUGGAUUACCGUAUUAGUGAGCCAGUGCGCACUUCCCGCACAUCCCCUGGCCUGGUGCUGUGUUACGCACGUGAUCCUUUUUCACAUCCUGCCGCCCCCGCUCCCAUGGCCCCUGCAGGACGCCAGUGGGAGGCUGUACUACGUGGCUCAGGCGCGGCUGGACGUGGUGGAGGCACUGCGGGCGGCUGGUGAGGCGGGGGGGGGGGCGGUUGUAAGUACCAGCCCAAACUAAACCAAAACCAACGAAAACGAGGGGAGUGCAGGCAGAGGCGUUAAUUGCAGGGGGGAGGCAGGGGUAAUACCGGGCAGGGGGGUGGUGUGCUAACAGGUGGUGGUAGUAGCAGCUUGGUAGCCUCUGACGCCCUGGCAGCCGAUAGCAGCAAUCAGGCCGCCUACUCUCUGUGCCGCCAUGUGCGCCACCCAUGCUCAGGCGAAGAGGGCCAACGGGCGAUGGCGGAGGCGGAGGUGGUCAUGGCGCAGGCAGCAGCCAAUGCCAACUCCACACCUACCUCUGAAGCGGCGGCACAGCAGGAGGCGGCGGCAGCAGCCCCCAGCGGCAAAGGCAAGGGCAAGGGCGGCGCUGCUGCCGCUGCCGCUCCUGCCGCUGGCCCGGCCCUGCUGUCCGAGGUGCUGUCAGCCCUGGCUGACGACCUCAACACCCCCGCGGCGGUGGGCGCCCUCAGCGCCCCCCUGCGCACCAUUAACGACCUGCUGACCACCAAGGCAGGGCGCAAGCGGCCUGACCGCCUGGCAGUCCUGGCCCAGCUGCACUGCGCCAUGUGCCGCGUCAUGCAGCUGCUGGGCAUGGAGCUGGAGCUGGAGGCAGGGGCGCGGGCGGAGGCGGCGGGGGCCUCCGUUGGGGUGGCGGCCGGGGCGGCGAGCGGGCUGGCGGCCUCGGCGGCGGCGCUGGAGCAGCUGCUGCAGGUGGUUUGGCGCCCUCUUUCUGCGAUGCAGAGCAAGGGACUGGUGUGGAUUCCGUAGUAUGGCAGGCUGUCGCUGGUGUUGAUUCAAGGCUGCUUAGCCCGUGCGCCACGUGGUUGGGUAUGAUGGGUGUGUCUAUAAGCAUUGUCUCAAGAUGAAGGGCUGCCCGUGCUUGAUGCAUGCCUGCAACCACACCUGGCCGUGUUGCAGGAGCUCCGUGCGCUCGCGCUGGUGCGCCUGGACAUGACGGAGGAGGCGGUGCAGGCGGCCAUUCAGGAGCGCACUGAGGUGGGGAGUCGGGGUCGUGGCUAGGGGCUGGAAGGGCGGGUAUCAGGGCGUGUGCCUGCGACAUGAAAUCGUCGACUGUCCUGCAGCCAUGGCGGGCGGUGCUCCAUGUUGGUCUGACUCCAGUGGUAUGUAGCCAUCACACGGUCGCGUCACUGUCCCGCGAGUGCAGGAAAGCAACCAUGUAUACUGAUGCUCAUUAUGAUGCUGAUGCCACCUUGGAACCCUCCCCCUGCCACCCAGGCCCGUGCGGCCAAAGACUUUGCUCGCUCGGACGCUAUCCGCGUGGAUCUGGCGGCCAAGGGCGUACUGCUGCUGGACACGCCGGAGGGCACCUCCUGGCGCCCAGGCAGCGCGGCCAGCCUGUGAGCCUGUGAGCGCGGUGGCGUACGCACGAGGCUGUCGCAGCAAAGGCCUCUGGUGACAGGACGCACAUGUUGUAACCCAGCCGCGGUAUCGCAGUUCGUAGUGAGAAGAAAUGCGGGGAGUGUGUCAGAGUCGCUGCAGGCAUGUUUGAGUCGACGAUAGGACAGAGAGGGCGGUGAAGAAGGUGGAGUCGCUGACCUUGCGACCAUCUGUUGUUGUUAUGCUUGUUAUGCUUGCUGGCUUGGCGGCAGUCGUCCUGCAUGCGGAUGCAUGGGGGUGGAAUGCGGAUGCAUGGGAGCGGAGCUGGGGGAUGGAGUAGGAGGAGGUGCGCGGUUCCCAAUCAUGUCGUCCGGCCUAGGAUUGUGAUGUGAGGAGAGUUGUCAAACCGUUUGUUCAGAGCUAGCCCUCUUACACCCAGGGAGGCUUUGAUCGUUCCAUUUAUCGCCUGUACUAGGCGUAGACCAAACACAUUGUUGCUUCGUGGGAACGCGGCGAAUGCGAUAGAGCCUUUGAUGCCCCUGGUCGGCUGGACAGAGACAGUACGCUGGCGUGGGUGGGCCGUGCUUGGCUGUGAUUGAAGAAGUGCAAAAGCUGUUGACUGUUAGUGCGUUACUAGUUACUACCCGCCUUCAGCACUGUAGCUGCCUGGGGGCCCAGACAGGGGCUUACAAUCAAGCCAUAAUGUCUUCAUGUCUUCAUGCUUGAGCGUCAAGUUCCGUGUCCAGCGUGCAACCGUAGCCAAGCACUAACGCGCAACCCGCGGCCAACACCGCCACGGCUUUCCGAUGCACCGCCACCUCAACUAACUACGCAGCACGUAUUCAGCGCAUGGACCCAUGAAGGCGCCUCUCAUAUGAUGGGAACACACUGUAAACCACGACCCGGACGCGACAAUCAAGUGGCGCUACCGUAUUUGUACUCAGGUGCACCACACCUGUGACCCGGGCUGACCUCGGCAACCUGCCUAAACCCUGUCCCAUCGCACACCCGGGCUGUCGCUUGCAGCCACGUGAAACCGCACAUGUCCACCAUCACUAUUGCAAUGCAUUCACAACCAGCCGCACUCCUGCACAUAUUCUUCACACAAUACCGCAGUUCAUCCCAUCACCCUGAUACCUGCAUACUUCAUGACCACUGCCUGACGCCGCCAACGUGACUCUGAGUGCUAGUAGUAACUGUUUCCUGCAAGCCACACAAAGAUGGAUACCCGUAUGCUGCCCUAUGCCUGCCACUGCGGUUUGGGCAGCAGGUUCUCCUGUGAGAAGGGUGUCCGGAUACUGGGGCCCACCUGGGACGCAAGUGCGGCCCACGCGAAAGGGUCCAGCGACUCGUAGCCCAGCGCGAUGGCGGGCGGCAGACCCACAGGCGCAGGUGACAACUGAGAUGAGGCCUGCGGCCCCGGGCACUCACUUGCAGAAGCUGAGGCUGGCCCCUGCUGUGGCCCCUGUUGCGGCACCCCACCAGCGCCACCUGCCCCGGGCCCCUGCUGCUGUCCCCGGCCUUGCACACCCACAACAACCGUACCCAUAGUAGCGCCCGUCGCCGGGCUGCCACGAUGAUGCGGCGACUGCGGUUGCUGCGGGGCCUGCUGGGGUGGCUGCAGCGCCACAUGUGCGCCCACGUGGUGGUGGUGGGUGUGCUGCGACUGGUGCAGCUGCCGCUCGUCCAGGUCCUGAGGAAACUCGGCAUCCAUGGGCCGCUGCGCGCCACCGCCACUGCCGCCCAGCCCACCGCGCUGAGGGCCGGCCGCCGCACGAGGUCCGGGUGAGGCAUUGACCGCCGCCGGCGCUGAGCUGCCCCCGCUCAUGGACCCGGUGGGCUGCGGGGGCACCAGCGCCUGGCUGGAAGCGGGUGCGCUGGGGCUCGACCCUGAAGAGCCGCUGAUCGGCAUACCGCCGCCGGGUCCCAAUCCCGAGGCCCCGAUGUCGCCGGCCCCAGCUGCGCCGCCGCCUCGCCGCCGCAUGGUGUUGUUGAGGCCGCUACCGCCACUAGCGCUCUCAGCUGCGCCCGCGUUUACAGCACCAGACGCCGCCGCCGCCGCAGGUGCGGGAGCUACGGGCGGCUUGGCACACGACUGCUGCUUGGGAGGAGGCACAGGUAGCAUCUGCGGUAAAGGCAGCAGCGGCCCUCCGCUAGGGCUUGCCGCCCCCUUGCGCGGCGGCACCCCGCGGCCUGCUGCGGCACUACCUGGUCCCCCGUCCACGAUGGGCACCACCCGCGGCAGCGCCCCUGCGCCUCCCGCCCCGGCUUUCCGCCCUCCCGCCCCCAGCAGCCGGGCCGGCACCCGCGCCAGCAGCGUCUCGUCAUCCAGGUGGUCGCCGCCCUCGCCCUCGCCCCAGCCCACAUCCUUGCCAUCCAGCUGCACCUCCGAGUCACAGCCGCCACUGCCGCUGCUGCUGCUGCUGCCGCCGUCCUCGUCCACAUCGCGAAUGCCCAGGUGAGAGAAGCUGAGCUCGGGCGAGGCGGGGGAUAGACCCGCCCCGGCCCGCCCGCCGAAACCGCUCUUGGGCGAGGGCAAGUCGGAGGAGAUGAGCACGAUGCCGCUGGGGGUGGGCACUCCACUGCCGUCGCCGCCCGAGCCACUGCUGCGGUGACCACUGACCUUCACACCGCCACCACCACUGCCUCCUGGCCCUCCCGCUCCUGCGCUGCUAGCUCGGCCCAUGGAGCCGUACCGGGAAAGCCGGUCGUCGGGCCGCACAGGCCGCCGGCCGGCGGACGUCGGGCUCUCAAAUUGCGAACUGCCCGGGCCGCCGAAGCGCGACACUGGCAGGCCAAUGUUGCCAGCCGCCCCGACAGCACCCCCAACCCUGGGCGCCUGCACCUGCAUCUCCGACAGCGCGGCAGUGGAGGCGCCGCCAUCGGAGCCGUGUCCACUCCUGCCGCUGCCUGGGUGGCUGGCGCGGUGCACCCGGCUGUAGCUGGGGCGGGGCUGCCGCACUGCGGACCGGUAGGGAUACAGCAUGCAUGUCAGAGCUGCGGCACGUACUCAUCAAUCCAGCCCUACAACAGUACGGUACAAGAGGCAUCUUGGCCGAGUUCGAUACGCCCAACAAAGCCCUCCCCUAGCAUGACACGCGCAUCGUACACACCGCAGACGCACGCACCUGGCUUGAUCCAUGCUCGUGAGUUGCUGGCGGCCGCUGCCAUAGCCUGUGCAUUCUGGAACAGCAGCACAUGGCGCUGGCGAAUGGACUGCGGCGCCACCAGUGUGCGCGGCUGCUCCGUCUCCACCACGUCACGAGGGUCCAGGGGCAGCUGCACCACAUGGCGGGUGCAACCACCGCCGCUAGUCGAAUUAGAGCCUAUUGCUGUGGCCUGCUGCGGGGCGCGGCCGCAGCUACCGGGUUGGGGGCUCUGGCCCUGGAAGCCCUGCAGCUGGGUGGGCGAGCCGCUUGAGCGAUUGGCGGACGGUGAAGAGCCCUGCCCGUGGCGGUAAGACUGCACGCGGGGGAAGGCGUGGCUGCAGGGGUGCAGCAGGUUGAGAGUGGGCUUUAGGGAGGCGGUGGGGUCGCGCGGCGGCGAGGCCACUGCCCGGCUAGUGAGGUACUGUGUGGUCAGAGGCUGGUCUGCCGGGCGACGGCUGCUGCGGCCCAGGCGGCUGUCCGACUCCGACCUGCAGGUGCCAGGGCAGGGCAGGAGAAUGGGCUGUCGGCAUGCAGGGUCAUGCAAAGGCCAUGCGCGUGUAUGCAGAGUGGCACAACGCAUCCGUGUGGAUGACCUCCUGCAGCACGCACCCGCUGUAGUUAAAGGCGGCCCAGGGCGCAUCCGCGUCCUCGUCCUCGUCAUACGCGUCCCCGUACUCGUCCGGCGGGUGCAGCACCGGCCGCCGCAUAACGUCGAACUGCUGCCGCUCCGCCGCCAGCACACGACACAGCUGGCCCGCCUGCACCGCCAACAGCGCCUUACCGUUGGCGGAGCGAUACAGCUGCGGGUUGAGCAGGUUGGUGGCGGUGCCAAAUGCGGCACCUGACCCCGACCCAGCCCCAGCACUGCCAGAGCCCACGGCGCUCUCAAAUACGGAGGUGCCGUCCAGCCCGUCAACAGCACCAAUGCCGCCACCGCCGCCUCUUGCAAUCACUGGGCCCCCGCCUUUGACCUUACGGCCGCUGGCGGUGCCAGCCAUGGCUGCCGCAGCCGCCGCGGCGGCCUUGAGCGUGGCCUGAAGCGCCGCCACGCCAGUGCGGUUUUCCUGCCCUCCGGCCGCUCCGGCCCCAGCUGCCCCGAGCACGCGGCCACCACCAGGUUGCGCCCAAGCAGGCAGGUCGAAGUCCCAGCCCUCGGCAUCACCCUGGCCCUCGCCUUGCUGCUGCCUCUGCUGCAACUUGGCACGCGCCUGCUGCGCCGCGUCUGCCGCUUGUGCUGCCCGCCGCGCCGUCGCCAGCUGCCGAGCCACGUCCCCCUCCCCGCCGGCAGCCCCGCCCGCGGUGGCCGAGGCAAUGCCGGGCAAGCCCGCCACUCCGGCGCUGAUGAUGGGCACCCGCCCCAGCAGCUGCUUGUCGCGCUCAGCCAGCUGCAGCGCGGCACUGGCGGCAGCGGAGCGGCCCAGCGUCUCGUCACCGCAGUCCCCCGAUUUCUUCAACGCCGCGUUGUGGCGGUUGCGAGCCAGCUGCUCGCGGCGGGCGUCCCGGCGCUUAUUGUCCAUGCGCGCCAGGCCCACCACACGGCCCUCGUAGUAGGACCAGCGGAAGGCAUUGGCGGCCUGCAGCACCCCUUGCACACUGGCUGGCAGUCGCGGGUAGUCCGAGUACUUGAUGGUGUAGACCUUGACACCGCUGUACGACUCAAUCAGCACACCCGCCUCGCGCUCGCGCUCCCGCUCCCGGCCCUGGGUGGGCCCGCCACCGUGUCCGUGUCCGCCCAGCCCUCCGUGCGCCGUGUGUGCUACGCUGUGCCCAGUGGUGGCGGCGCCGUGGCCCAGGUGCACGCUGCUGGCCAGUCCCACCAGCGGCGAGUGCGCGCCUGCCGGGCCCCCGCCGCCGUGCGCCGCCGCGGCGGAGGGGCUCAGCACCGCUAGAGACGGCUCCGCGGUGACGGCCGCAGACGCGCCUGUGGCCAACAGGUUGACGGCGCUGUUGGCGGUGGUGCCGCCUCCCAGUGCCGCGGCCAGGUGCAGGGUGGCUGCAGCGCUGGGGUUGGCGGUGCCGGGCACCGUGGCGGCUGCUGCGGCGGCCAUAACGGACUGCUGCAGCUGCAGCGCCAGAGCUUGCUCGGAAGAAGGCAGCCCGAAGAUAUCGCCCGGGCCCAAGAUGGAGAUGGUGAAGCGGUCGUACAUGGAAGGACUGCGGACAGGAGAAGGCAAAGACUGGCGCUAGGUAAGACGCAGCAGUACACCACAUACAGCAGCAUGCAUGUUGCUGCUCCUCUAGCCUGCACAGCAAUGCCAGAUUGCCGCCUAUUUGAGUCUCCUUUUCCUUGACUCUAAUAAAUGAUGAACCCAGCCCUCCGGAGCCGCCUUCCCGCUCACCCGGUGGCACCUUCGGCUCCGCAACCAUCGUGCUGCGCUCCUUCACGUCCGCCAGCGGCUGCCCCGCCUCCCGCCCUACGCACUCGCGCCUGCCCCUCCGCCAGGAAGUACAGGCAGCGCUCGCGGCUGUCCUCCAGUGGCCACAGGCGGGUGCUGGGCGGGAAGAAGGCCAGCCCCAGCACCUCGCUGGCCGCCUCCAGGUCCGACAGCGGCAGACCCACCAUCAGCGGGUGCAGGCGAAGGUACAUUAACCGCUCAGCCUGCAACAAGUAGUUGCGCCGGGGGAGAGCAAGAAAGGGCAGCGGGCGAGGAGUGAAAGACAAGCCACCGGUAUCAGUGUAUCACUCCUUAUCCGACGCAAGCCACAGCUUUUACCAAGGCCCUGACCCUCUACAUGUCCUCUAUGUUGAAGUGUGCCCUCGCCUGUUCUGUCGCGCCUGCGCACCUGGCGUAUGUCCAGUACCUCCUUAAAGGCUCGGCUGAAGUCGGGUCGCGACAACGACAGCAGCAUGGCGCUGCUGGACGACACCACCACACUGGUGUGCUGCGCCGCCGCGCUCAGCAGCACAGCCUCGCCCACCGUGUGGCCCCGGGACAACACCGCCAGCGUGCGCUCCUCGCGGCCGCCGCCCGGGCUGGGCACCGGCAGCCGCACGUCCAGCUGCAAAGAGGAGGCGCGGGCAGCAGCAGAUGUGAUAAUACUGCUUUUCAUGAUAGGCACGGCUCUGCCCAGUGUCAUCAUGCAUUUGACUAGCGUGUUACAAGUUGGCCAGGUGUCGGCUGCACAUCCGCACGCCCCACCUUGCCCUGCACCACAAAGUAGAGUCGAUCCGGCGGCCUGCCGCGGCUGAGCGCCACCUCCCUGCGCGCCAGGAUGUGCACCGUCAGCAGGCGGCACAGCUCCCACUGCAGCGGCGCCGGCCACAGGCUGAAGAAGUACGACAGCCCGUUCAUGUAGGCACAGAUGAACCUUCAGGGGAGCGGGGGGAGCGGGGCGGGUCAGGGAGAACAGGGGUUGCAGGGGGCCGGCGCACGGGGCCGGCGGCGGGUUGGAACUGCUUAGGGCAGCCCAAAAAGAUGCAGGCCGAGAGGACAGCGAGCCCACCGUCCACAGCCGACAGCCCACAUCCACGCACUUGAUAUCCUCCUGUGUGCGUGCCACAGAGGGCUUCUGGCACAGCUCCACCGCCCGCAGGUCUGCCUCCGCCUCCGCCGCACACGCCACCUUCAUACUGGGGCUCCUGGGGCAGGAAGGGCGGCGUACCGUACGCACACACGCCCGAACGCGGCAACCAAGUCAACGCACAUGAGCUUUCACAUGCCGCAGCUCAGCUACAACUCAGACACACAGGAAAAGGCGCCACAAGCCAGUUUCGCACUGCCAUGCUCAGGCUCACCGCUUUGGUUUGGGCGAGGUUUGGGCGAGACUGCUCCCGGCCGUGCUGACCUCUCCCGUCCACUCGUGCUGUGGGAACGGCUGGCCGCUGCCGCCAUGCAGGGCUGCAUAGGCGGCAUCAAUGGCCUUACUCUCCUUCACGACGCCUUUGCUCCAGAUUGCGGCGUCAGAGUCCCGCAGACCACGGCCCCACGACGUGGACUCGCCCACGAGCGUGCCCAUUCGGGUGGGGUGACCAACGGGGCUUGGUAGGUGCUCCCGCGCUACCCAGCGGCUGCGGUAACGGGACCGCAGCUAGCUGCAUAAAAGGCUUCUAAGGCGACACCGCGGCUGUGAGCAAGCCCAGCCGGAAGCGUCCACAGGCAUGCGUCCCUCCGCAACUGUCGGUAAGGCCUAAUAUAACUGGUUCAUACUAUAUAUACUAUUGCGGGUAGGUAUUUCUGUAUCUGUUGCCAGCCACUACCACUAUCGAAGUGCUGUUUGUUGCUCAACUCGCAAAAGCAGUGCUAGUAUUUGGCAACAUACACGUAUACUGUAUGUCACCGGUUGAAGGUUUGUGCGCUCCUUGAGCAAGCUUUCUGAGGUUCAUUGCAUUAUGCAUCGCAAAUUCAGCAACCGCCAUAGCCCAGACACUCGAACGCAGACACAAAUUGCCACAAGGCUGAAAUGCCGCAAACAUGAAGGUUCCUGUGUGCUUCCUUCGUUUUGACAGUCGCUUUCUCCUAGGCGAGGCGUUUGCAGCUGCAAAGAUGCUGCCGCUACUUUUAAUAGUGCUUUUGGGGAUGGCUGGGUGCGCAAGGUCAGAGAGCGUACAGAAAGGCGAGUACCGAUCACAGGAAUUCCUUCCUUGCAACUUCCCACCGCGCUUGCCCGUAAAAGGGAGGCGCGUUGGUCGCGAAUGCUUCUCUGGCUAUGCAGCCUUGCUACUCGCUUCGCUGCCCCCAGUCGCCAACUCUGGUGCACCGCACCUACCUAUGUGCGUCCCUGACACGACCAUGCCACCGAAGAGCGUGACACCGUGUGCUGUGCGGGGACAUUUCUGGAUUCUGCAGAUCCGCUGGCCAUGAUUGGAUUCCACGAGGGCACGCGGCGCUUUGCGGAGUGUGCGGCGGGCGGCACUCUGGUUGGUGUGGAGGUCGGGUUCGUGGAGGACGCUUGGAGCUUCGGUGAGGCCUUCAUCGGCUCGGUGCGGCUCAUUUGCAGCAGGUAUGCUUGUGUGGGUCGUCAGUGGGUGCUGGGUGCAUGGUGAUGGAUGGAUGGUCAUGCUUGAUGAGCAUUGGGAUGGGUUCGCCAAUCGCCACAUGUAUGCGUGCACUGGCUUCUUGAGGGUGAAUGCCGGAGCUGUGGCCAAUGGGCAUGUAGGCCUUACUCCCAACCUACCACUGCUGGCUCCGCGUUUCCAAUCCGCAGCAAGAAGGUGUCGGUUGAGUACCUGGGCGACCAGGACGAUACCUUUGUUUUCGGUCGCUUGAACCUGAAGACAAUUCGUAAAGGUACACAACGGAUAUCAUGUAACCAGGCCUCGUGGAUCCCAAUCCAGUAAACAGGCUGCAGCACCUGGGCCUGCGCGGACGCGCGCGCAGCUUGUACUAAGCGUACCGGCAUCUUAGCCCUGAUGUGCCCUUGCUGCGUGAACCCUGCAGUUGAGUGUGAGGGCGCCGGCGGUGUGGCCGGCUUUAAGUGGCGGGCGGCGGCCAUCAAGAACCCGGAUGGCGCUGAGAUGCGGCAAGCGGGCCUGGUGGUGCUGUGCAACAGGUGCGCACCGUGUGUGGGGAUAUGGGACUGCCUUGAUGGGAGUGCCUUGGAUAGGUGCUCUGCAUGGAUUGGUGGGGGACAUCGCAGAUGUUUGUAUCAUUGCCCUGUACCCGAACCGGUGCCAUCACGUCAGUCGCAGCCGGUUCAAAUUGUUACUUGCUCGCUGACAUUGUUGACGACAGGGCCGGCAACGCCCCCUUGGAGAUGGUGCUGGAGCAUUCGCCUGCGGCAAGCCAUACCUACCCCAAAUCCUUCACCUGCAAGCACGUCACGCAGUACGCAGGGCUGGACUCGCCCAAGCUCACCAAGAUGCUCAUGUGGUUCAACCGCAAGUCGUUUGCGGCGCUAGAGCCACUGGAGUGCGCUUGAGCUGCUGCGGGUAAAUGGAUCGCGGCUAAGGGGGCCUGUCAUAGCCACGCGCACAAUGCAACUUGAAAUUUUUGCGCAAUUAGGAUCGGUUGGGUAGCGUUCUGGCGGCACACCCAGAGUGUAUGGCGACACCCUAAGUGCUUUGACCACUAGCCCUAGGGGAAGGGAACUUGACCGGAGUGCAGGCUCUUGAGCGGAAGACGGGGUUGUCGAGAUGCGGCACUGGCAGAAGGUUACGGGGACUUGGGGCUGUAGCUUAGGAGUUGAGUCGGGAAUGAGGCGUCCUCCAGUCAGGAGGGCACCAGGGUCGUGGCUUGAGCUGGAGAGCUGGGGCUGUAACUUGGGCUGGAUAACUGGGGAGAGCCGAGCUUAGGGCAAGCAGGCAGCUGCGGGUUUUGAAGCCAGGGAGGCUUGGGGGAAACAGGUCCACGCAGGCAAGCAGGCACCUGUCCAAGUGCCUAUGAAGUGGUAAAAUGUCUGCAUACCGUGACAUCUUUGUGCAGCUUCAGCCGAGGUAGUUACAGGAGGGGGAUAUGACGGCGUUCCCUUAUAGCACGUUCCUUGUAGAAUACCCUAUUGUGAUCUGGCGGUGAUGGGCCCGGGAGGCCUGUAAAUGGCAAGUGAGGCUGGUUGGCAAAGGCGUGAUGUCUGAUGUCGAGACGCGGAUGACAGGCGCUAAAUUCUUACGCAUAAACAGAUAAAGCGCAUUACUUCGUCCUGGCUGGUUGCCUGUUCUGCUAUGUAGCCGCAGUUUGAAUGUCGUGACACGUCGGGACACUGCGAAAGCCGCGGCCCCAUGGGCACGGAUGCCCCUAGCCACCAGCCCUCUGGAAACUCUUGCUUUAAGUUUAAGCCACCGCUUUAAGGGUCCCGCGUUGGUAGGGAUGCGGGGUAUGCGUUGUUACAGGCUUACAGCUUGUGCCAUGUGGAUGUGAUGUCGGAUAGCGUCCAUCCACAUCCUGUGAUUGCGGACUAGCAACAUUGAUGUGUGCGUAUCCACACAAGUGUUGAGCCCACCUGAUAGCCAAUAGGCAACUCAUGCUCCCAUUUGCUCAGAAAGUUCAGCGCCGCAUUUGGAGCGCUAAACUGCUGGUGCCAGCCACCAGCCAUAUAUGCAUUCAUCCAACAGCUGCGUCCAAACACGACAGCUUUCCCGUGCCAUACCCGUGCCAUAAAGGGCCAUAACACCCCUGCGCCACUGUCAUCUUUCACAAGCCCCCUAAUGGCCACGACGUCAAUACUCCAAGAAUGAAAGUCAUUACACUUAACCGCCGGUCGUCCAGGUUGCUUUCUCUUGCUACUUCUUGCCACCCGCCUUGGGCCGGUCCAGGCGCAGCUCCGGGAAACAUUGCGCCAGCGUUUUGGCAUCCGGGGCGCGCGGGUCGGGCUGCUUGAGCAGCAUCGCGCUGUAGGAGGGCACCUCCACGACCCGACCCUCGCGCUCCACCUGACGCAGCAACAAUAAGAGGAGGUGGAGUCGGUGUGUAGAUCCCCGCAGGCAAGACUGACAGCGCAGCACCCGUAGGACGACAUGACACAGGCACUGGCUGCCAGUGAGUCGAUCAGCACAACACGCUUGUAAACACUCACACAGCCCGGUCAAGUACCUCGACGGCCUUGUUCCUGUCCCAAACCCACCUUAACUUUGCCCGCCUUGGUCUGGCAGCCCAGCUGCCCCAGCGCUGCCGCCAUCUUGGUCGCGUCCAUCUGAGGGACCAGGCAGCAGCAGGCCGUCAGCGGGAACAUGGCACAAUCCAGGUGAGGCAAGAAGGCGCGAAGCUCAACACUUAGACUGUGACAACCAUUAAGAGGGAUCCCCGACAGCGGCUUUGCAAAUGCAUGACCUGAUACAACAAACGACGGCGCGGAGAUCUCAGGGAUAUCCAACGUCUUGUGCUGCCGCGCUGUCACUUGCAAGUCAAGAUUAAAAGGCCAGCCGAUUUCAACA
rnacentral:lncRNA from 1 species